GCGGGCCGGCGAGGGUCAACGAGGUCGUUGUUGGUCCUCGAGCGAGAACCGGACGGGUCGCGGAACGACUGGGCCGGCUGCUCCUGCUGCGCGUUGGCAGCCUCCACAAUAACGCGAAUGCACUCCUGCUGCGCCUCGCGGGCCGGCCCCUCGAGCUCUCCUAACUCGCUAAGGGCAGCCCGCGCGGCUCUAAUGUUCUUGACGGGGGUGUCAUGGACGGGGCGGCCGCUGGUGCAAGCGAGAUAAUCAUAGCAAAUACAUAAACGAGAAUGACAAAUAGGGCAUACAUCUGCCAUCUGACAUAGUAUAAUAUAAGGUUUACAUCCACACAAUUAUUCAGACAAGUUAAUCCCGCUACGGACUACAUGAAACAAGGAAAAGACUAUGAUAUCCCGCAUGCUGGCCCACGAUCACGACCACGGCCUCAGUCCUCCGGAUAGUUCACGUACAGUCGGUCGUUCUCCUCAUCGCACUGCCACGCCAGCUGCGUGCCAUCUGGAUCUCCUGCGUCGGGCGUACUUGUACCUGUUGGGGUGUUGUAGUAAACUGUGAGCCACGGGGACUCAGCAAUCGGAUGACCUUGGUACCGAAACUAGUCAAGUUAUUAGGUGAGGAAGGUUUAGUGUAUAGGUUGCAGCAUCCUAAGCAUAUAUGGUGGCUAACUUACGAAGAUCAGAGUUAUUGUAUUGGUGGUCUACGCGAGCGGUCGAAGUCUAGGUGAUCACUAAGUGAUCCUGAACACCUACUUACGUCAAACAUAACCCCACCGUGUUCCCGAUCAAAGAGAGGUCUUCGAAGGAGACAGUCACGGUUACGCACACAGUUGACAGUUUUAUUAGAGUUAAUUCAAGUUAUCUAGAACCGGAUGUUAACAAAUUAUCCAUGUUUGCCACAUAACCGCGGGCACGGCUUUCCGAAAGAUUAAACCCUGCAAGGGUGCUCCAACUAGUCCAUCACAAACGGUCACGGGCCGCAAAGUAAUCCUCUAUCACGAAUCUCGUGAUCUCGUCGGAUUCCUUAGAGGAAAACCUCAACUUUAAGGAGACACAAAGUUUCACCGGGAUUCCUAUACGCAAGAUAUAUCGCUAAGGUAAGACAAAUCUAGCAGGACUUCUCGUCGUGUCGACUACCCCGAUAAGAGCCGCGUAUCUCAGUCUCAGGACACGACAGAUGAGCUAGACGUCGGGUUGGCUAAACCACUGGGUGACCAGGGGGCCCCGGACAUCGCUCAGGUGGGACCAACACUCAUGAGGAGCAUGUUAGACCUUUCAGCCUGAGCAUUGAUAGUUGUGGAUGACACUAGGAGAGUUGGGACAAUUUNNNNNNNNNNNNNNNNNNNNNNNNNNNNNNNNNNNNNNNNNNNNNNNNNNNNNNNNNNNNNNNNNNNNNNNNNNNNNNNNNNNNNNNNNNNNNNNNNNNNCGCCAGAGGCCCCCCGCCGGCGAGGACGACCUCGCCGCCGGUGGAUCUCAGCUGGCCUGAGCCACUGACGUGUGGGGCCAGCCUCUGGGAGUUUAGGAAUAAUAAAAAUAAAACCAAAUAAUUUAAUAAGUCACUGACAUGUGGGUCCAGUGAGAUUAAUUAGCUAAUUAAUAUUAAUUCUAAUCUAAAACUGACCAGAGUCACUGACCAAUGGGUCCCACUGGUCGGGUUUAACUUUCAACGGCCAGUUGGACCUGCUGAUGUCAUGCUGAUGCAGUAAAGGGGUUUUCCAGUAUAAAAAUAAUUCUAGAAAUGUUUAAAACUUCUAAAAUUCAUAGAAAUUAAUCUGUAACUCCAAUGAAAAUAAUUUAUAUAUGAAAAAGUAUCAGAAAAAUUCAAGGAAUCUGAAUAUGUCAUUUUCAAACAUGUUUGAAAAUGUUACAGAACCCAAACAUGUAGAUUAAUGAAUAAGUUAAUUCUUAUAAAUACUUUGUAGAUGGAAUUUGGGAAAAUAUUUAAAUUUCACUAUAAAUGACAUGAUCAAACACUGUCCUAAUUACAAACUAGCAACCUAACAUGUCAUCCCAUGCAUGUUAAAAGCAAGUUGAUCUGAGCAUCAGAUCGAAUCAAUUAAAAUGGUAUCCGAGAAUACCUCGUUUGAAGUGGUAUUUGAAUUUGAUUCAAAUCAACUUCAAACCUAAUACAUGUUAUCUAUAAUAGUUUACCAUCUUGCAUUAUCAUGCCAUGCUCAUGCAUCAUCUUGAUUGCAUAUGUUUGUUAUUGAUUGUUGUCAUUCCUUUCGGUAGUCUCCGCUGCCCCGGUUUCCACCGAAUAUCCGUCUGACGGAUAUUGUCACUCCUCUGAGCAACAAGGCAAGCAACCAUUUUGAUCAUCCCGAUAAAUCCCAUGUUCUUGCUCCUGCACUUACUUAUUGCAUUAGGAUCAAAUGCUUCAAAUGCUUUUGCCACGUUAGUUGAACCCACUUCCUUUGCAUGACCUAUCCUUGUCACAGUAAAUAGCUGAACCNNNNNNNNNNNNNNNNNNNNNNNNNNNNNNNNNNNNNNNNNNNNNNNNNNNNNNNNNNNNNNNNNNNNNNNNNNNNNNNNNNNNNNNNNNNNNNNNNNNNCACAGCCGGUAGUUCUUCAAUCCAGCAGCCGGCUGACCUAGCCAGUGGUGCCACCAACCUUCGCUUGAUGCUGGCUAGGAUCAGGCCAUUGGCCCUCUCUGCUUGUCCGUUUGACUCAGGGUGUGCCAGUGAGGCCAAGUCGAGCCGGAUGCCUACCUUCGAACAGUAGAGCGCCAGGGCGCCCUUGGCGAAGUUGGUGCCAUUGUCGGUGAUGAUGCUGUGGGGAACACCAUAUCGGACAGAGAUAUUUGUGAUGGACCUCAUGGCGGUGGGGCUGUCAAGCUUCUUGAUAGGUCUGGCUUCGAUCCACUUGGUGAACCUGUCAACGGCUACCAAAAGAUGUGUCAUCCCUCCGCGAGCCGUCUUGAAGGGCCCAACCAUGUCCAGUCCCCAGAGGCGAAUGGCCAUGAUAAGGGAAUGGUUUUCAGCGCUGAGGGCGGCAUGUGGCUUUGUGCACUGAAGCAUUGGCAGCCUUCACAUUUGUACACCAGAUCCACGACCUCCUCGAGGGCCGUGGGCCAAUAGAAUCCAUGGCGGAAUGCUUUGGCCACCAGGGUUCUCGAGGCGGCAUGAUGCCCACACUCCCCCUGGUGGAUGUCUCUGAGGAUCUCCUGCCCUUUUUCUGAUUCGACGCAGCACUGGAACACGCCGGUCGUGCUGCGUCGUACCAGUUCGCGAUUGAUGAUGCGUAGGUGGCAGACCUGCGUUGGGUCUGUCUCGCCUCCGCCUCAUUCUAAGGAAGUUCGCCGCGAAGGAGGAAGGCCAGAAUGGCCUGAGCCCAUGAUGGAGCCAACACAAGGGUCGCCUCUGCUUCGUUUUGACUGUUGGAGGCUUCUGCAGCCCCCGAGCUUGAUGGUGUGUCCGUGUUAUUACUGCAGCCGGCUCACCGUCUAUCUCCAUGACGUCCACCCACUGCGAGAAUUCGAGCCCGGAAAGAGCCGGGGUUGUCGUUGUAGCUAGUGCCGCUAUUGGAGUCGGUUGGACCAAUGGAGCCGGAAUAGGAUCCGGAGACGGCAUAGCUGGUGGAGCCAACGGCGNNNNNNNNNNNNNNNNNNNNNNNNNNNNNNNNNNNNNNNNNNNNNNNNNNNNNNNNNNNNNNNNNNNNNNNNNNNNNNNNNNNNNNNNNNNNNNNNNNNNCCCCCCCCCCUCUAGGCGACAUCCACGUCCUUUCACAAGGUCGACCAUCUGAGUGAGUAAAGAGAAAGAAGACAUUGUUGGCGCAGCAAGAAGAUGAGCAUAAGAAGAAGCUUCACAAAGAAGCAAAAAAAGAAAGCAAAAAAGGAGCCAAGAAAGAUAGUAAAAAAGACUCGAAUGUGGAGUUGGUGAGCAAGCCUAAACCAAGAAGAAAAAUAACUUGUUCAUUUUGCAGUGAAGAAGAACACACAAUCAAAACCUGCGAGACAUUCCUGGACUACAAGGCUAUGAUGCGUGCUAAUCUUGCAAUAAAGUGACAGUUGUGCUCCGUGGAAGGCCACACAAUGCAAUCAUGCAUCCAAUUUAAAGCUGUGAUGAUGAAAUUUCAGAGACAUGCUCAAAAUAGUUAGAUGAUGCUACUUUUUCUGUGAACUUCAGUAGAGUUUAUAUGCUAAUUUGAUUUUGCUAGGAACUUUGUAUUAGGAUUUUGAGCUUUUGUGAAAUUCUUUGAACUUAUAUAGGAAAGAAGAUUAUAAGAGAACUUCUAUGAACUUCACUUUUCGUGUAUACUUUGUUGUGAACUUUGGUGAAAUUUAUAAGAAGCUUACGGUGAACUUUAUAUGAUAAUUUUGCUGUGAAGCUUGCUAAAAAGUUGUUGUGAACUUUUGUGAAGCUUGCUAUGAUACUUUUCUGUGAACUAUUGUGAAGCUUUUUGUCAAAUUUUGCUGAUAAUUUGAUUCAUAUUGUUGGUUCAUUAAAACCCGUGUAUGCAACAAUAAUGUUGCAACCAUGGUGAAAAGAAUAAGCAGAAUGUUUUUACGGCAAGGAGAAAAUAUGCUCAUGCUCAAAAACCACAUGACAAAAUUUCUUAAAAAAUAAGAAGAAUGCCUCUUCUAGGAAGUUGUUUUUGUGCCAUCAAUUGUUCCAAAAUUGCUUGUUAUUCUCAAUGCUUCUCCCAUAAAUUGUAAAAAAAAAUGCAACUCAUGCUACGAGUAAGCAAUGAGAAAUGACAAAAAAACUGCUCCGAGGAGACGACAAGAAGAUAGCACACAGAUGAAGCAUUUUAUAUAAAACAAAAACAAUGCAUCUCCAUGAAACUUGAAGGUUAAAGGCACCAGCAGCAAACUCUUACACCAUACUUAAGCUUGGUCGCAUAAUCAUCUUUUGUUGCUACAAACUAUGAAUUCUACUAACAACAGGCACAGGCCCAAAAGACUGAUUGAGUUUUACAGCAAGUUUUCAUUCACCGUAAUGAGAACAUAACGCAUGAUGGCGUGAGAUACAAAAUAGGAAAUGAUCUACAUGCUAGGUCCUGGCCAAAAAUAAAUGCAACGUCCAUCUUCGAGCAGCUACAAUCGCCUUGUACAUAUCAGCAGGGGAGACCUUGUUCAAUGGAUGGUAAAAUAACUUUGAAGAAAGGUACUUCCGCAAAUCAAGCAUAUUUUGCUGCAAAAAGAGAAAAAUGAACGAAGCGUUUAUCACACACACAGCAAAUGAAAAGGUACAUAGAAAAAACAUGGUUAUCUAUGAAUGCCUUCUUAAAAUCUUUCGUCCUCUUCCCAUCAAAAUUUUCAAAGUAUAGCACUCCAAAAUAACCACAGUCAAAGCUGUUUUUUCAACCAGAAAGAGAAAGAUGCAGUGUAUAAAAGGUUAAUAUGGCUACAUAGAAUGAGAUGAAAACAAAAAAUAUUUGCGGAGUUGAUUGUUGUGAGUACUUGAUCAUGGGCCAGUCGGCUUGAAAGAAUUUAAAUCCACGCUGAAGUCAGGAUCUUCUGCAACAAUCCUCUUAAAAUUGGUGAACUGGCAGCAGUAGGCAAACAGUAUCCAAAAAAUUUAGAUCUUUUAUCAGACACAAAAAAAAGCAAAACAAAACCUAAAAAGUGCUAAAACACCUAAUACUUUGCAUAUUUCAGUUCCUCUUGUACAUUGGUAAUCUAUUUUCCCAUUAAGGAGUAAACACGACCUAAAAAGAAGAUAAAGGUCACUUACCAGAUUCCUUGCAGCAAUAUCCAAAUUCCCAUUGUCGAGCGAGUCAAACAGGUUAAAUUGCUUGUGCAAGAGGUUAACGACACAAUCAAUCCAAUGGACAUCCCAAAAUAUGGUGAAGAAAAGAUGCGUUAAAGAGACGAAAAAAAGUUAAAUUGAAUAAACUUUAAAACAUUCAAGAGGAAGACACACAUAUUGGGUAAAAACUGUUGGGAGCAAACUUACUAGGUCAAAAACUGAAAUCUAAAAGUUUUGGCACGCUAUCGGUGUCAAAAUCGGCGGAUCUUGGGUUGGGGGUCCUGAGUUGUGGAUCUUGGAUCGAUGGGUUAUAGUGGACGAAAGAGAUGACGUUUUACCCAGGUUCGGGUCCUCUUGAUGAAGGUAAAACCCUAUGUGUUGCUACUAUUUAUACUGAUGAUGGAGUAUCGAAUGCAGAGUGGAUCUACCUUGAGAUCGUAUGUUGUGGUCUAAACCCUAAUGAUGUAGACGUUGCAUCUAAUGAAUAUCUAUCAAUUAGCCUGGCCUCGUCUUAUAUAACACACCGGAGGCCUAGGAUGACAAGAGUCCUAGUCGGCUACGUUGGUGGAGAGGAGUCCUUGUCUUGAUCACCAAGACUUAUGGAAUCUUCCUUGUAUAUGUCAUCGGCUGCCCGAAAUAGCCCAGGAGUACAUCCCAUAAAGAUAAGCAGGCGGCCCGAGGACCCAUUAGUCCCGGACUCCCUCGGUAGCCCCCGAACUGGCCGCCAAUGUCGUAGUCUUGAUCCUCGACACCUUCACGCAUAUAGAGUCUUUAGCUUGUGGGGAGAGUUCUUCUCCCCAAUUAUGUUCAGCCAACACCAGUUCGGCCGCCGAUGACUUCCCUAUUUUUGAGCAUAGGUCUUGAAGUUGGGGAUGCUCAUCGGUUCUUCCAAACUAUUCUUCAUCUUCGGUCAUUAGUCUUGAAUACCGGUUCAACAAAUCUUCUCAUCACUAAUCUUAAGGAUCACCGGGGUGAAUCCAAAGAGUUUCAACGUCGAGCAUCUCAGGAGCCCCUUUAAGUUAUCAAUCUUUAUAAAUGCCUUGUAAUUUUUCAUGCCACACCUAGGGUUUGAAAUGUUUCCCGUACGGCGGUAUCCUCUUGCAUCCAAGCUCCAAUGUAAAACUACAUCCGAGGUGUCCUCUUGUGUUUGAGCUCCAACGAUGGACUGUAUUCAAGGUGCCUUUUGUAGCCAAGCUUCAACGCUUGUCGGCAUCCGAGGUGUCAUAGAUUACCUCGGUUUGUUAAAAAUUGAAGGAAUUCGUCCGAGCUUAAACACCGGAAUAGUCUUUUAUGGAAGCAGCCAUUAGCAUUCGAACUAUAUACCAAACUGCUUCCGAGGUGGUGCACCACCUCAUAAUGGGUUGAUUUUUGUGUGGAUAUAUAGCAAGUAGCCCUUAAGGUGUGUGUCGGUCUAAAACCUGAGAUGCACCUUAGGAAAAAAAUAAAACCGUUGAUCCUAAUAGCCCCUGAGACUCAGGUCGAUUCACAAAAUCGGCCUGAGGAUCAAUUCCUUGCUCGGUAGCAAACUUUAGGAAUUAAAACGCGGUGUGAAGUAACCCCCAAGAUUCAGGUUGGGUGCGGUCGCCCGACCUGAGGAUCAAAUCUUCUCGAAAACUGUAUUGCACUUGUUGUGUGCGUUUUGACAACGCCAAGGUGCAGGUCGGCAGGGAAGGUGCCAAACUGUGGGUCAGAAAAGAUUUUUUGGUUGGUGUAAUUUAUUCUGUGACGAGGUGUAUAACCAGUAGCCCUCGAGACUUGGGUUGGGCAACAUGGCCGACCCUAGGAUCGUAUCUCCUCGGGAACAAUUUCAUCCAUUAAGUGUGUUUUGACAACACCAAGGUGGAGCUCAAUAGGGAAGAUGUCGAACUGUGGGUCGGAGAAGAUUUUCCGAGCAAAACCACCAUGCAGAAUACCUCGAACAAGAGGAUGUCAUGCCUCCUAAAAGAAAAUCAUAAAAAUAGGUUAAUUGUGUCUAAAGCACCGAAAAGCAAAAAACUUUAGCAAAAACAUUAUCUCCCGAACUAAAUCAAGUUUCUUGGUGCCAAUCUGAAAAUUGGUCUUAAAAAUUAAUAUGUGCUUCGAUCGUGCUUUAACAUGAUACAUCUGAUCUCACAGACUUCAAGCGGGUCAGCCUUAGGCUUCAACCUUCAUAUCCCGAGGGCAGAGUGUUUCUCCGAGGCCUAUUUAGAGAACUAAACUCAAGCGGCUUUAGAGAGAAACCAGGCUACCCGGCUAUUGACCAAACACUCAUGUCGGAAAAAUGAGUAGUAGAAAAAGAUUUUGCAACGACCAAGAAGAAAACAUAUUUAUUAAAAAAUGGCUCAUAUAAAUUUAAGAGCCCCCCGUUAACAUGGGUAACGGAAGUGUUUUUAACAAACAAUGCUUUUAACAAGCUAAGUUUUUAACAAACAACUUUUGUGUUUAACAGAAAUAUGAUGGGACAAGGUCCCAGUCCCCAAGUCUGUCACAAGGUAGCCGACUAAAAGUUCGGCUUGAUGAAGUAACAAUACAACACUUCAGAAGGGCCGAUGCAAAACCCCCGAUCCAACUGAGGACACAGAGUAGUUCGGCAAUGUAACGACGAAGCCCCCACAUCAGUCGACCAUGUCGACGACACAAUUCAGUUGAUGGAGGCGUGAUGACAACGUCAGCGCGCCCAGGUGACUAUCUAACAUGGUUGGACCCGAUCACCUAUGCACAUAAAAUAGUGCAAGACAAAGAUAAUAUCAAAUAAUAAUAAUAGUCCUCAACUUAAUUAAGUUGAAUGAAAUGAAUAGUUAGAAAAAGUAUAGCCUGAGUACCAAGGUGCCCGAGCAAAGAGCACAGCUUGAUAAAGUCGCAAUGCGCCACGAACGAUGUGGCGAGGCAAAGCCCUCAGUCCAGCCGAGGUGACGAAGCUGUUCGGCUAGUGACGCCGAAGUCCUAGGAGCAGGUUGAUGAAGAGGUGGUGAAGCCCCCGGUCUAGCUGAGGUGACGGAGCAGUUCGAUAAGGUGGCGAUGGAUCCCCCAUGCAAGCCGAUGUGUUGAAGCAGGUCGGCGUGUUAAACGUCGGUUUGAAGAAAGCGACGAUGUGAUGAUGUCGAUGCAAGUCAAAAUUUGUGAUGCAGUCAAUGUUAGCUUGAUGAAGCAACGACGCGCCCGACCCAUGCAACCCGUGGGCAACGAGAUUCUCUAAAGAUUAUUCAGCCCUUGCAAUGCCAAACUCUUGGUCAGCUGACCGAGAUGAUGAUCCGAGAUGGUUGUCGUUGGCUCGAUAGAGCGGCGGCGCAGUCGAUGCUGGCAUAGCUCGGAAACCGUGGAGCAACAUUAUCGGGCUGGUUUGACACAGGUGUGAGAGUGAAGAUUGCGUUGGAAAAGGCUCAAAAUUUAUGGGCAUGUGUAUUAGAACAACACAUAAUACCUUCAAAAUUCCUUGAAAAGGAUUUCCAAAACCGUGUUCAUGAAGAAAGAUGAAAUCAGGUCAGAUUCGUUUUUGCGAAGAAAACAGAUCCAAAAUUUGUUGUACUCAUAAGAUGUUUACCAGAGUUUGGAUGGUCGGAUCGGGCUGAAAUUUUGAGUGAUCGCUAUAGGAAUUAUGCAGCCGGUAAACUUAUGAAAUUUCCCGUCCACAUUUGAUAGGCCUCCGGUAUAUCAAAGAUCGCCAGAAAUUCCUGUAUCAGAACGCGACGUAAUUUUGCAGGGUUGUAAUAGAUACAAUUCCACACAAUUCCACUGAAGCAAUCGUUAAAGAGACGCUCGACGAAACAGGGAUAACGAACACGAAUUCAUUGUCCACAAAAAACUGUAAUCAAUCUGCAGGGGAGCCAUCAAUCUUUCUGUCGAUCACACAACGGAACUCUCAAUGAAAGCACCAACGUCCGUGUCAAAAUCGCCAGAUCUCGGGUAGGGGUCCCGAGUUGUGGACCUUGGAUCGAUGGGUUAUAGGGGACGAAGGAGAAGAUGUUUUACCCAGGUUCGGGCCCUCUUGAUGGAGUAAAACCCUAUGUCCUGCUCUUGUUUAUACUGAUGAUGGAGUAUCAAGUACAAAGUUGAUAUACCUCGUGAGCGUAUGUUGUGGUCUAAACCCUAAUGGUGUAGACGUUGUGUCUAAUGAAUAUCUAUCAACUAGCCUUGCCUCAGCUUUUAUAACACAUCGGAGGUCUAGGAUGACAAGAGUCCUAGUCGGCUAUGUUAGUGGAGAGGAGUCCUUGUCUUAAUCACCAAGACUUGUGGAAUCUUCCUCGUAUAUGUCAUCGGCUUCCCGAAGUAGCCCAGGAGUCCGACCCAUAAAGUUAGACUGGCAGCCCAAGGACCCCUUAGUCCCAGACUCCCUCACACGCCCUUCUUAGCUCUUUUGCACAAACACUUGGAACGAAAACUUCUUGGUGGAAGGAAAGUUGGAGCUCCAAGAAAUAUUGACAUGGAAGAAAUGAUGAAGUAUUGCAGCAUGGUAGACAUGGACAUAUCAAAAUAAUGAAAGUAGAAGGAAGCAAAAAAGAUGAACUAACACUCAUUAAAAGAGACAAAGCAUAUUUCUUCUACUUAUUUGAUGACGAUAACUACUCAAUGUUGAACCUUUCAAUGAAUAAAGACAUGACUUCAUUGCACAUUUGAGCGCGUGGCUUCAAAGACUUCUGGAAGUUGGAAUAAGUAAUGUAAAAAUCACCAAUCCUAAUGAAAGGCGGCCUGCAACAAUAGGUGUCAAAACCAUAUGAAACCAUGAAAACGAUAUGAAUGAAGAUAAAAAAGGCUCUGAUGGAAGCAAGAAUGAGAAAAUCUCGCUUGCUCAAUUUCCCCUUUUUCAUCUUGUACCUCUUCAUGACGAUGUACUGGUACAUUGCUUCAGUAUUGUCAUAUGUCUUGAUUUUCUUGUAUUUUGCUCCGGUUGAAAUUAGACUCACUGUUAUUUUCUUGCUCUUGAGUUUCUUCUCUUCCUUCAACCUCACCUUCUCCUCAUCACGGUAGGGGCCUGGUUCCCUGCUGCUAAGCAAAACGACUGGCUCCUCCUGUGGUUUUGGUGCUCCAACUAGGAAGCAAUUAAAGAAAAAACAGUAACAAAAGUGAUUUACUACAAAAUUUUGUGAGGAUAUAUUUGCUCAAAUAUUAGCAUGGAAGGGCAUACUUACAGUCCCGCUUGAAAAUGGAGCAAUUGCAAUUGGUGUGACAUCAUAGACAGGGACUUUAAUUUCUCAUGAGCCUCGAGCAUGAGGAGUGGCAUCAAAAACGGCACAAGACUUUGGCGUUUUUGGUGUUGCGACAGUAUUUUUAUGGUUUGAAGCAUUGGGGUCCACAGCUGCACUUGGGAUACCGAUACACCAAUUGUAUUCCUCGGUGCCCUCUUGGAACACACUCAUUGAUGGUGUAUCACUCCAAUGUCCACCCACACUAGCCAUUCCAGAGUGAUCGAGAUGACUUAGUUGGGGACCAUGCUCAACAUCUUCGCCACCCUCCACUUGCUCCUUUUCUGAUUGGCCUCAUUGGCAUCGGCACUAGAUUCUACACGAAGCUCUACCACAUUGCCUGUAUUAGGCUCAUGAGCACUGCUGCUAGAACGAUUGCUUCGAGCUCCUUCAGCUGGCUAAACUACCACCUUGUUAAUUGUUGGCUCAUUUGCAACCUUCCUACUAUAACUUUGCUUGCUACCCCCACGCUCAUGAGAAGCCUUACUAGUACAAGUUUGCUUGCUACCCCCACGCCCAUCAGCCUUGGGUUCAUCAUUGUUGCAAUGUGGCGGAAUGUCAAAAGUAACAUAUGUUGUUUGCUGAUUACUUGAUGAAACGAGAUCAACAUCUCUGAGAAGCUGCCCCAUUUUCCUAUAAUGCAUGGCUUGCAACACUUGAACAAAAGAAUUGGUACCCCUUUUAACUUUGCAGCAUAGAGUUUUGUGUGUUUGUCGUAGAUUUCAGCCAGAUGUGGUGGGAGCUGAAAUGUAUAUGAAAAUGAAAGUGGAGGUGCUCAGUGGGUAUGCAACUUACUACAUGGUCGGAGGAUAUUUGACAAAAUAAAAAAAUAGAAAACAACAACGCAAGAGAAUAGGAAUAAUCUCACCUCAAGCUCUACCCCAAAUGGGACUGGGUUCUGAAGUGAGUCAUCCAGUGAACCACACACAUCUUCUUCUACACUUUUCCAAUUUUCCAUUGGAUCAAUAUCUUCUCUAUAGUUGUCUUUUGCACCAACGUCACCUUUGUUUCCAUUAAUGUUGACAUUUGUAGCACCGCAAUCUUUAGUAUCAUCACAAUACACAUCUUUAGUAGUUCGUUGUUGUUGCCUAUAGCAACACCUGUGACUCCGACUUCUGGAGACAAUGAUGCAUACGAUGUCUCUGACAAAGGCCGAAACUGCACAGCACGUAGUAAAAUAAGCAAAAACAAAUAGUGGAAACAGAAUUGUUGCAAACGAAUGAGGGAGAAAAACUCACACAACACUUCCCAAAUGAGGCUUUGCCCAAUGCUAGCUUGUUUUUGUCUUACUCCCACACAAUAUCAAAGUCAUUCUGUUGAACAAAGCAUUCCCUCGGCAGAGAAUAGUUCAUUUGGUGCUCAUUGAUUGCAGCUUGAGGAAAAAUCAAAUGAUCCAUGUAAAUAACCCGAUAACACAACACAUAAUAUCUCAGAUAACACAACACAUAGAAUCUCACACAGAAUGUGAUCACAAAAACAAAAAAAAUGUGAGGUGAUUGAAAAAAUCAAAGAAGAAGAUAUGUAUACCGCUAACAUAGGGAAACAGCCCCCAAACCAAAAUUUGGUGAUAUCAUGUGAUUUAAUCUUCUCCUGGCACUUCUUGACCUCGUUUAUUGCAACACUUAAAACAUGCGCAUCCCAAGAAUAUUCAGUGACCUUCUCAAUAUCUUUAUGGCUCUUCAAGUACUCUAACGGCACCAUGUUGCCCGUGCCAGGGGUUAAAACUGUUGCGAGCGCCAAUAGCACCCAUGACCUCUUGGUAGUACCACCAUUAUCAUUCCUUGCUUUCUGUAGCGCAUGCACUGUAUGAGCAAUUGGAGCCCUACCAUUCUUGUGGUAAAUGUUGCGGAGCUCGCAUUGCUCAUGCCUCUUGUAAAGUACAACUGUUCGGUUGCCUGGUGGAAUGUCAAAAACCUUCUUCACCAUGUCUCUUGUAAAAACAAUAACCUUAUUCUGGUUCGGCCUAAAAAACCAGGGAAUGUGAGAAUGUAUUAAUAACAAUAUCUGAAGAAAGUACAUGCUACGGACAUGCUAACAAAGAAAAACAAAGAAGUCAAGGGGGUUAAAUACCUGAGCUCACGUUUGCCAGUGUCUAUGUUCAUUUCCAACCACUCCAUCAGAUCGUGUAGUACUAUAAAAGGAGAAAUGUUUUUCAGAUCACCAAAGCCAGUUUCAUCUAUGAAUUUCCUCUUGGUAGGAUUGAGCUUAGACUUGGCAAUUUGACGCAAACGUUUUGAUGCGAAACGUUGGCUGAAUACUCCAUCAGACGCCAUAUAUUCUUCGUCUAGCGAGUAACUGCAAUAUUAAAAAAAUGUAUUGGGUACAACACAAGACAUGCCAAAAAAACUAGUAGAUCCAACAAAAUUAUAUGACAACAAUUUUAUGUAAACAGCAACUGCAACAUACAAGAACGAAUUAGGUUACAGAUGUCAAUUCUGUUCAACAUAUGCAACAAACAAAAAAUGCAAAAUACUAGUAGAUCAAACAAGUUCAUAAAAACAAACAUUACAUGAUGCCCAACUACAAUAGCAGAUUCAGGUCGCUAGUUUAGUUGGAUAAACUCCUCCCCUAGGCUGACCACAAAGGUGGCAUUAGUAAGACCAUUAGUAAGAAGCACAAAGGUAGCAUCAGUAAGACCAUCAGUAACCACACCAAACUCAUCUGGAAUCGCCCUCCCCCUACUCGCAACAAGUCCACUACAAAACAUAUCUAAAACUAUACAGGAGUUGCGGCCUAUGAAGGGGACGGAGGCUCAAAGCACAACAUCACCAGAAAAUACUAAAUAUGUUCACCAUACCUAGCAGAUAUACUCUUCAACGGCUGGAACUAACGGAGCUGGCCAUGAAAUGGACCUCAAGUUCGCCACGGAGGGGAAUACCUAGAAGAUGCAAGAAAAUCUACUCCUCCAACGACAGGAACGAACAAAAACGGUCAUGGAAUGGAGCGCAUGCUGCGGGGGAAUGGUGACCAUACCUGUCGCCCGGGUCCUCCCGCUCAUCGUUGUCGCCCCAUUCGUCGUUGUCACGUAAGGUGCUCGCCAUUGAUCAAUCCUUGGCUGCCCUUCCUAUCCUUGCAGCAUCUGGCUCACUGGCCCCCGCUAAGAUUCGAGAUCUGCACAGUGCCGCCUGCAUCUCCUCGGUCACCUCUGCCGCUCGGGUCGCUAAAAGAUGUGGAAGCAAUGAAAAACGAGUGGAAGCAGCGAUGAGUUGGAAGCAAAAAAUGGUUGCAGCAAAAAUUGUAGGGGAAAACGGACCUCGAAGAAGACCUGGUCGAGAAAAUGGACCUAGGAGAGGACCUGGUCGAGACAGACGAUGAUCGUCCGAUCUAGCACGGAUGGCACGUGAGGCGCUCGCUUGGGAGGCAUGCGACAUGCGAAUGCAACAAAGUGUUUUCGUGUAUGCUUGUUUGCUUCUAUCACUAAGUAGAUUUUGUUUUUGUUUUGUUUCUGCUUUCUUGUUUUCUUUCUUUUCUUGUGGGGAAACAAAAAAAAUGAAAAUUUAUAAAUACAAAAAAUUUGACUUGUCUCUUAAAAGAGAAGCGAUUGGCAAGUUAUACAUUGGAGAAGUGAGGGUCGACCUUGAACAUUUGGGUUCAUGCUCAUGGAAACAAUGUAGAAUUUUCAUGGAAGUUUCUGAUAAAAAUAAUUAUCCCCUUGUAUUUACCACUGUACCAUAAAAAUAAUGUGCUUUUCAUAAUAUUCAUGUUGCUCUUUUGCAUGUUUCAUCAACUAUCCUUAUGUGAGCAUCAUUGAAAUUAUCAUGCCUAGCUAAAAAGCUUUAAAGAAAAGCGCUUGUUGGGAGACAACCCAACACUUAUCCUUUCUGUUUUCUCUCUUUUAUUUCAAUAAUGUUUUGUGUUCACAUGAUUAAACUACUAUAGUAAUCAUGUUUUAUGUAUUUUAUUUCAAUAAUGUGCCAAGUAAAGCCUUUGGGAUGAUCUGUAUGAUGAGUAGAAUUAUAUGGUACAAAAAUAGAAACUUUGAUGUCCAGUGCAGAAUUUCAUUGAAUCUACUAGAACGUACUUUUAAGAUGAAAUUUUUUCAAUAAAAGAUUCCAAGAAUUGCCUUUAGAAUGCUUCAAUUGCAUGUGUGAUGUGUGUUGUACAAAAAAAGAAACUUUUGUUGUAAUAUUUGAAUAAUCAGAUUUUAGUGGAACGUGGAAAGUUUCUGAAAUUUAUACACAGUACUGCCCUAAAAAUUAUUUAUCCUUUCCCAAAGUUUCAUAAUUUUUGGAGAUACAGAAGUACACUUUCUAAAUAAAUUGCUAUAGACUGUUCUGUUUGGACAGAUUGUUGUCAUCGUUUUGUUAUCUACUUAUCCUGGAGUUUUCAUCGCUUCUAUGAGUGGAUAUAAAUUGUGGAAAUGAUAGUAUACAGUACCUAAUGUUUGAAAACUAUUAUUCAACUUGUCUUGUCAGUACAUGAAGUGUUGAUUUAUUCUUAUGUAUACUAACCUUUCUCACGGGUUCUUCUCAAGCUUUGUGUGGAUGAAGCUUUUGGGACUUAGGUGAAACCGGGAUAUGAGAGGGUUGAACGGGAUACAAAAACUCAAGAUUGGGGAUGCCUAAGGCACCCCAAGUAAAUAUUACAAGAAUUUUCAAGCAUGUAAGCUUGGGGAUGCUAAGCAUCCCACAUCUCUUCGUCAACAGCUAUCGGUUAACCAGUGUUGAUCCUAAGUUUUCAUUCAUUCACAUGUGCUAUUCUUGGAGUAUAUUUUGCAUUUACUAUUCCCUUUUAUUCUAGGAACCAUGUUGGUAUGAGAUGAUCCUUGGUUGAUUUAUAUAAUGCUUCAUGUUCUUCACUUAAAACUUUUCAGUAUGGCUUUAUAGAAUGCUUCGCGUGCUUCACUUAUAUAUUUUGAGCUUGGAUAUUGGUCUCUCUAUAUUCACUAAAGAAUUCUCUAUGAACUUCACUUAUAUCCUUUGAGAGUAGUUUGAUUGUUUGCUCUUGUGCUUCACUUAUGCCCUAAGAGUAAAUUGUGAAUGAAUGAAAUAUCAUAAAUCUAAAAUCAUCAAUGUGCUUUAUGAUUAGUAGUAGUUUCACAUUUGGUUUAGAAAGUAAAAUCUAUUUAAGUUUGACAAUCAUAGUAUUGGUCAUGCAAGCAAUCCAUGAAUGACUAGUAUAAGAAAGGGAACUUUCAGAUACAAAUAUAUUAUCUUGGACAUCUUUUUUUAUUGUGAAUGCCCAUUAAUUAUUUUCAAACUUGACCAAAUAGUUGAAGUUGGACAAGGAAGACAAUGUAAUGGUUAUGUUUGGGUAUAUUUUCAUAGAAGUUAUAUUGUUAUGGAUCCUCCAACUCGUGGUGUCUAUAUAGAACCUUUUGCUAGCCAAAACUUCAUACUAAGUAGAGAUACUACUUGUGCAUCCAAAUACUUGAACCACGUUUAUUCCAUGAGAGUCCACUAUUGUCACAUCCCUGACACCUUAAUCAAGUUAGCUUUGUGCUCAUGUUUUCUUUGCAUUGCAUCUAGGAAAUUUUCAACAACAACAAAGCAAGUGGUGAAGGAAAAUUCAACAAACCCUAGCCACUUCUCAAAUUAAGGGAAAUUCCAAAACUAGUUAAAAUCAAUGAACCCAAAAUGGCCUCAAGAAAAGUUCAAUCCUUCUGAUAAUUCUUGAAAACAAAUAAGCAAUAAAGGAAACCAUUUAUUUUAUACUCUUGGCAUUUUAAAUAAAUGCAAAAUCUACUAGUUUCAAGUUUUAAAUUUGAAAUCAGAAACUUUAAGCUUUCAAAAAUGUUGAAAACUUUAGGAAUGGUUGGAAAUAUUCCAACAAAUAUUCUGGGGUGUUCAACAUAGUUUUUACAGACUAAUUGGGAGAUGAAAUAAUUAGUAAAUCAAUGUGAGUAAUUAAAACAGAAACAAAACAGAAAGAAAAUGAAAAAAAUCUUACCUGUCGCUCACCUGGCCCGGCCCAGCAUCUUCUUGUCGUCUUCCUCCCCCGCCAGUGGGCAGCAGGAGGUGGCCGCCGCGUACUCCGGCGUGGCCACGCACCUGUGCGCCUGCCUGGCCGCCGCCUCGCACUGGCAAGAACGGGGAUAUCUUCCCUGAGCUCGUCCCUAUCCGUUCCCCAGCUCCAAUUCCCCCCCUCCUCUCGAGAUCUCUCCUCCCUCCUUCUGCCGCCAUUGGAGCCCGAGCAGAGCUCGAGCUCGCCAUCAUUCUAGCCUACCCUUCUCCCUCCUGAGCCGCGUAAUAGGUCCACCGCAACUCCCUGAAGCUUUCUAGCCACGAGCCCGACGCCGAGACGCAGUGAAACACCGAGACGCAAUCGUCUUCUUCCUCGGGUCACCGAAGUUCAUCGUCGGCGUUCUUCCUCUCCAGGCCGUCCCCGAGCAAGCUAGCGCCACCACUACACUCCUCGUGAGCUUGCGCAUCUUUCCCCUAAGAUCUCCCCAUCGAUCCCCUCCUCUAGGCCUAGUUCCAUUGGAGCCCGACGAGAUCCGCCGCUGCUGCUCGUCGCCGGUAGCCCUCCGGUGAUCAGCUCAUCCUUCUGAGGCCAGCAGCUGCUUCAGGCCGUCGCGUAGAUGUCGUAGGAGCUGAGUCCCGUGCGUAGCUCCCUCUGUAUCGAUGACCCCGAUGACGCCUGAACUUUGGCCGCCGCCAAGCUCGUCGCCGGUGUCGUCUCCGGCCAGAUCAGCCCGAGCUAAAGUGCAAAAAUGAACCCGCGGGAGAAGUGUCGUUCCUGUGGUGCUCUCCGCGUAGAGUUUGGCCCCCUGUGCGCCGUUUCCGAGCCCCUCCGCCGUUCUGGUGGUCGCCAGAGGCUCCCCGCCNNNNNNNNNNNNNNNNNNNNNNNNNNNNNNNNNNNNNNNNNNNNNNNNNNNNNNNNNNNNNNNNNNNNNNNNNNNNNNNNNNNNNNNNNNNNNNNNNNNNAAUGUCAAGUGUCUUUUCCUUCGACCGUGAGAUUGUGCAACUCCCGGAUACCGUAGGAGUGCUAUGGGUGUAUCAAACGUCACAACGUAACUGGGUUACUAUAAAGGUGCACUAGGGUACCUCUGAAAGUGUCUGUUGGGUUGGUAUGAAUCGAGAUCGGGAUUUGUCACUCCGUGUGAUGGAGAGGUAUCUCUGGGCCCACUCGGUAGAACAUCAUCAUGAGCUCAAUGUGACUAAGGAGUUAGUCACAAGAUGACGUGCUACAGAACGAGUAAAGAGACUUACCCGUAACGAGAUUGAACAAGGUAUAGGUAUACCGACGAUCGAAUCUCGGGCAAGUUCUAUACCGACAGGCAAAGGGAAUUGUAUACGGGAUUGAUUGAAUCCUUGACAUCGUGGUUCAUCCAAUGAGAUCAUCUUGGAACAUGUGGGAUCCACCAUGGGUAUCUAGAUCCCGCUGAUGGUUAUUGGCCGGAGAGCGUCUCGGUCAUGUCUGCAUGCUUCCCGAACCCGUAGGGUCUACACACUUAAGGUUCGAUGACGCUAGGGUUAUAGGGAAAUGUUAUACGAGGUUACCGAAAGUUGUUCGGAGUCCCGGAUGAGAUCCCGGACGUCACGAGGAGCUCCGGAAUGGUCCGGAGGUAAAGAUUGAUAUAUAGGAUGGAUGGUUUUGGACAUCGAAAAUGUUUCGGGCGUCACCGGUAGCGUACCAGGACCACCGGGACCACCGGAAAUGGUCCCGGGGGUCCACCAGGCCCAAGACGUAGCAUGGGCCAAAAGGGGGAGGGCAACCAGCCCAAAGUGGGCUGGUGCACGUCCCACAAGAGGCCCAAGGCGCAGGAGGUGGAGGGGGGGGAACCCUAGGCGCUGGUGGGCCUAAGGCCCACCUAAGGGGUGCGCCACCCCCUCCCCUACCCUGGCCGCCGCACCUCCCAUCUGGGGGGGGGCUGCCGCACCACCUAGGGGGGAAACCCUAGGGGUGGCACCCCCCUCCUCCUAUGAAUAGAGAGGGGUUUGGGGCUGUUUUGCACACCGUUUCCUCUCUCCUCCGGCGCAACCCUGCUCCCCUCCUUCCUCCUCCUCCCACGGUGCUUGGCGAAGCCCUGCUGGGAGACCUCGUCUCUCCAUCGACACCACGCCGUCAUGCUGCUGGAGAUCUUCCCCAACCUCUUCCUCCUCCUUGCUGGAUCAAGGUGCGGGAGACGUCACCGGGCUGCAUGUGUGUUGAAUGCGGAGGUGCCGUGGUUCGACAUUAGAUCGGAAUCACACCGCGAUCUGAAUCGCCGCGAGUACGACUCCAUCAAUCGCGUUCUAGUAACGCUUCCGCUUAGCGAUCUUCAAAGGUAUGAAUAUGCACUCACCCCUCUCUCGUUGCUGGUCUCUCCAUAGAAAGAUCUGAAUAUGCGUAGGAAUUUUUUUGAAUUUAUGCUACGCUACCCAACAGUGGCAUCCAAACCAGGUUUUCUAUGCGUAGAUUCUAUGCACGAGUAGAACACAAAAAGGUUGUGGGCGAUGAUUUGUCAAUUUCUCGCUGCUACUAGUCUUAUUCAUUUCCGACGGUAUUGUGGGAUGAAGCGACCCGGACCGACCUUACACGUACGCUUACGUGAGACUAGUUCCACCGACAGACAUGCACACCGUGCAUAAAGGUGGCUAGCGGGUGUCUGUCUCUCCUACUCUAGUCGGAUUGGAUUUGAUGAAAAGGGUCCUUAUGAAGGGUAAAUAGCUUUGGCAUAUCAUCGUUGUGGCUGUCACAUAGGUAAGAAGGCGUUCUUGCUAGAAAUCCAAAUCAGCCACGUAAAACUCGCAACAACAAUUAGAGGACGUCUAACUUGUUUUUGCAGGGUUUGACAUGUGAUGUGAUAUGGCCAAAGUUGUGAUGUUGCAUGUAUGAUGUAUGAGAUGAUCAUGUUAUUGUAAUAGGUUUCACGACUUGCAUGUGGAUGAGUAUGACAACCGGCUGGAGCCAUAGGAGUUGUCUUAAUUUGUUGUAUGAGAUGCAACGCCAUGUGCUUACUACUUUUACUUCAUUGCUAACGGUUAGCUAUAGUAGUAGUGAUAGUAGUAUUUUGCGUGACGACUUCAGGAGACAUGAUGAUGGAGAUCAUGGUGUCACGCCGGUGACAAUGAUGAUCAUGCGAUGCCUGAAGAUGGAGAUCGAAAGAGCAAAGAUGAUAAUGGCCAUAUCAUGUCACUAUAUGAUUGCAUUGUGAUGUUUAUCAUGUUUUUCAUCUUAUUGCUUAGAACGAUGUAGCAUAAUAAGAUGAUCCCUCUUAAAAUUUUGAGAACGUAUUCCCCUAAGUGUGCACCAUUGCGAAGGAUCAUUGUCUCGAAGCACCACGUGAUGAUCGGGUGUGAUAGAUUCUAACGUUCGCAUACAACGGGUGUAAGCCAGAUUUACACACGCGAAACACCUAGGUUGACUCGACGAGCUUAGCAUGUAUAGACAUGACCUCAAAUACAAGAGACCGAAAGGUCGAACAUGAGUCGUAUGGUUUAAUACGAUCAGCAUGAAGUUGCUCACCAUGAUGACUAGUUCGUCUCACGUGAUGAUCGGACACGGGUUAGUCAACAUGGAUCAUGUAUCACUUAGAUGACUAGAGGGAUGUCGAUUUAAGUGGGAGUUCAUACUUAAUUUGAUUAAAUGAACUUAAUUGUCAUGAACUUAGUCUAAAAGUUGUCUUUAUAAAUAUUGUAGAUGGCCAACGUCAACCUCAAUUUCAACGCAUUCCUAAGAAAAACAAGCUCAAAGAUGAUGGUAGCAACUAUGCGGACUGGGUCCGCAACUUGAAGCUCAUCCUUGAAGCAGCUAAAAAGGCUUAUGUCCUUGAUGUGCCGCUAGGUGACCCUCCCGCUCCCGCAGCAGCCCAGGACAUUCUGAACGUCUGGCAAAUGCGAAGUGAUGACUACUCCCUAGUUAGGUGUGGCAUGCUAUACAGUUUGGAAACGAGGCUCCAAAGGCGUUUUGAGCAACACGGUGCAUAUGAGAUGUUCCAAGAGCUUAAACUAGUUUUUCAAGCUCAUGCCCGUGUCGAUAGAUAUGAAGUCUCCGACAAGUUCUUUAGCUGUAAGAUGGAGGAGAACAGUUCUGUCAGUGAGCACAUACACAAAAUGUCUCGGUUACACGGUCGUCUGACUUCACUUGGAGUCGAACUUCCGGAUGAUGCUAUAAUUGACAGAAUCCUCCAGUCUCUCCCACCAAGCUACAAAGGUUUUGUGCUGAACUACAACAUGCAAGGGAUGGAGAAGACCAUUCCCGAGUUGUACUCGAUGCUCAAGUCUGCAGAAGUAGAAAUCAAGAAAGAGCAUCAAGUGUUGAUGGUCAACAAGACCACCAGUUUCAAGAAGGGCAAGGGUAGGAAGAACUUCAAGAAAGAAGGCAAAGCCGUUGCCGCGCCCGGUAAUCCAGGUGUCGGGAAGAAGAAAAAGAAUGGACCCAAGCCUGAGACUGAGUGCUUCUAUUGUAAGGGAAAAGGUUAUUGGAAGCGGAACUGCUCCAAGUACUUAGCGGACAAGAAGGCCGACAGCUUUAAAGGUAUAUGUGAUAUACAUGUUAUUGAUGUGUACCUUACUAGCGCUCGUAGUAGCUCCUAGGUAUUUGAUACCGGUGUUGUUGCUCACAUUUGCAACUCAAAGCAGGAACUAUGGAAUAAGCGGAGACUAGCCAAGGACGAGGUGACGAUGCGCGUCGGGAAUAUCUCCAAGGUCGAUGUGAUCGCCGUCGGCACGCUACCUCUACAUCUACCGUCGGGAUUAGUUUUAAACCUUAAUAAUUGUUAUUUAGUACCAGCUUUGAGCAUGAAUAUUGUAUCAGGGUCUUGCUUAAUGCAAGACGACUACUCAUUUAAGUCAGAGAAUAAUGGUUGUUCUAUUUAUAUGAGUGAUAUGUUUUAUGGUCAUGCUCCNNNNNNNNNNNNNNNNNNNNNNNNNNNNNNNNNNNNNNNNNNNNNNNNNNNNNNNNNNNNNNNNNNNNNNNNNNNNNNNNNNNNNNNNNNNNNNNNNNNNCUUUUCAAAUGUUUCAGACUUGUGCUUCAUUAAGUAGACAUAACUAUAUCUACUCAAAUCGUCAGUGAAGGUGAGAAAAUAACGAUAUCCGCCGCGUGCCUCUACGCUCAUCGGACCACACACAUCGGUAUGUAUGAUUUCCAACAAGUCACUUGCACGCUCCAUUGUUCUGGAGAACGGAGUUUUAGUCAUCUUUCCCAUGAGGCAUGGUUCGCACGUGUCAAGUGAAUCAAAGUCAAGUGACUCCAAAAGUCCAUCGGCAUGGAGUUUCUUCAUGCGGUUUACACCAAUAUGACCUAAGCGGCAGUGCCACAAAAAUAUGGCGCUAUCAUUGUUAACUCUAACUCUUUUGGUCUCAAUGUUAUGUAUGUGUGUAUCGCUAUCAAGAUUCAAUAUGAACAAUCCUCUCACAUUGGGUGCAUGACCAUAAAAGAUGUUACUCAUAGAAAUAGAACAACCAUUAUUCUCUGACUUAAAAGAGUAACCGUCUCGCAAUAAACAAGAUCCAGAUAUAAUGUUCAUGCUCAACGCAGGCGCUAAAUAACAAUGAUUUAAGUUCAUAACUAAUCCUGAUGGUAACUGAAGUGAAACUGUGCCGACGGCGAUCGCAUCAACCUUGGAACCAUUUCCUACACGCAUCGUCACUUCAUCUUUCGCCAGCCUUCGUCUAUUCCGCAGUUCCUGUUUCGAGUUGCAAAUAUGAGCAACAGAACCGGUAUCGAAUACCCAGGCACUACUACGAGAGCCGGUUAAGUACACAUCAAUAACAUGUAUAUCAAAUAUACAUGAUUUUUCUUUGGCCGCCUUCUUAUCAGCCAGAUACUUGGGGCAAUUGCGCUUCCAGUGACCCAUACCCUUGCAAUAGUAACACUCUGUUUCAGGCUUAGGUCCAGCUUUGGGUUUCUUCGUCGGAUUGGCAACAUGCUUGCCGAUCUUCUUUGAUUUACCCUUCUUGCCUUUGCCAUUUAUCUUGAAACUAGUGGUCUUAUUCACCAUCAACACUUGAUGUUCUUUACGGAGUUCAGACUCUGCGAUUUUCAGCAUCGCAAACAACUCGCCGGGUGACUUGUUCAUCCCUUGCAUGUUGUAGUUCAAUACAAAGCCUUUAUAGCUUGGCGGCAGUGAUUGAAGGAUUCUGUCAGUGAUAGCCUCUUGCGGGAGUUCAAUCCCCAGCUCAGCUAGACGGUUUGAGUACCCAGACAUUUUGAGCACAUGUUCACUGACAGACGAGUUCUCCUCCAUCUUGCAAGCAUAGAAUUUAUCGGAGGUCUCAUACCUCUCGAUCUGGGCGUUCUUCUGAAAGAUAAACUUCAACUCUUGGAACAUCUCAAAUGCUCCAUGACGCUCAAAGCGAUGUUGAAGUCCCGGUUCUAAGCCAUACAAGACUGCACACUGAACUAUCGAGUAGUCCUCCUUACGUGCUAACCAGGCAUUCUUAACAUCCUGAUCAGCCGUAGCGGGUGGUUCAUCUCCUAGCGCAGCAUUAAGGACAUAAUCCUUCUUCCCAGCUUGCAAGAUUAGCUUAAGAUUACGAGCCCAGUCUACAAAGUUGCUUCCAUCAUCUUUCAACUUAGCUUUCUCUAGGAACGUAUUAAAAUUCAGGGUGACUGUCGCGUGAGCCAUGAUCUACAACACAAAUAUAUUCAAAGUGGACUUAGACUAUGUUCAAGAUAAUUAUAGUUUAACUUAAUCAAAUUACUCGCUAAACUCCCACUCAAAAAGUACAUCUCUCUAGUCAUUUGAGUGGUUCAUGAUCCACUUACACUAGCUCAAGUCCGAUCAUCACGUGAGUUGAGCAUAGUUUCAGUGGUAAGCAUCCGCAUGCUAAUCAUAUCAUCUAUAUGAUUCAUGAUCGACCUUUCGGUCUCAUGUGUUCCGAGGCCAUGUCUGCACAUGCUAGGCUCGUCAAGCUUAACCUGAGUGUUCCGCGUGCGCAACUGUUUUGCACCCGUUGUAUGUGAACGUUGAGUCUAUCACACCCAAUCAUCACGUGGUGUAUCGAAACGACGAACUGUAGCAAUGGUGCACAGUAGGGGAGAACACAAUUUCGUCUUGAAAUUUUAGUGAGAGAUAACCCCAUAAUGCUACCGUCGUUCUAGAAAAAAUAAGGUGCAUAAAAGGAUUAACAUCACAUGCAAUUCAUAAGUGACAUGAUAUGGCCAUCAUCACGUGCUCCUUGAUCUCCAUCACCAAGCACCGGCACGAUCUUCUUGUCACCGGCGCCACACCAUGAUCUCCAUCAACGUGUCGCCAUCGGGGUUGUCGUGCUACUCAUGCUAUUACUACUAAAGCUACAUCCUAGCAAAAUAGUAAACGCAUCUUCAAUCACAAACGUUAGCAUAAAGACAACCCUAUGCCUCCUGCCGGUUGCCGUACCAUCGACGUGCAAGUCGAUAUUAUCUAUUACAACAUGAUCAUCUCAUACAUCCAAUAUAUCACAUCACAUCGUUGGCUAUAUCACAUCACAAGCAUACCCUGCAAAAACAAGUUAGACGUCCUCUAAUUUUGUUGUUGCAUGUUUUACGUGGUGACCAUGGGUAUCUAGUAAGAUCGCAUCUUACUUACGCAAACACCACAACGGAGAUAUAUGAGUUACUAUUUAACCUCAUCCAAGGACCUCCUCGGUCAAAUCCGAUUCAACUAAAGUUGGAGAAACUGACACCCGCCAGUCAUCUUUGAGCAACGGAGUUACUCGUAGCGAUGAAACCAGUCUCUCGUAAGCGUACGAGUAAUGUCGGUCCGAGCCGCUUCGAUCCAACAAUACCACGGAAUCAAGAAAAGACUAAGGAGGGCAGCAAAACGCACAUCGCCGCCCACAAAAACUUUUGUGUUCUACUCGAGAAGACAUCUACGCAUGAACCUAGCUCAUGAUGCCACUGUUGGGGAACGUCGCAUGGGAAACAAAAAUUUNNNNNNNNNNNNNNNNNNNNNNNNNNNNNNNNNNNNNNNNNNNNNNNNNNNNNNNNNNNNNNNNNNNNNNNNNNNNNNNNNNNNNNNNNNNNNNNNNNNNUAUAUAUAUAUAUAUAUGGAUCUUCCCAAACACAUGAUGCUUGACAACUAGAGACUUAAUAGGUAGGAAAAGGGACACACAUUAUGAACUCUUGCAUAAAAGUAAAUACAUGAAAGUAAAAGAUAGGCUCUUCACAGAGGAAAGCAGAGGUUGUCAUGCACUUUUCAUUUUUAUAUGUGCACGCUCUUAAUGGAAAGGAACGUCACUUUAUAUUGCCCCUUAUGAUAGCAAAGUUUAUUAUGUAGUUUGUCGCUUUUAUUUCUUUGCCAUCACAAGAUCGUAAAAAUCUUAUUUUCCCUUACAAUAAAAGAUCGUACAUGUUUAGCAACAAUUUUUAUUGCUUUUUGCACCAACGACAACUUACUUGAAGGAUCUUAUUCAAUCCAUAGGUAGGUAUGGUGGACUCUGAUGCCAAGAAACUAGGUUUAAGGGUUACAGAUUGAUGCAUGAGAGUAAAGCAAGAAAGCUCGAACUAAUCUUUAUUAUAUAACUCUCACACAUGAUUACAAGGAUAGAUAGAUCUCAGAGCAAACACUCUAAGCAAAGAAAAACUGAAAUUUUAUUUCUAUAAAUCACGACAUAACUAAGGAUUGAACUGGGAUAGAUAAUAGUGAUAACAGUGAUGGUGAUACGAUAUGGGUGUACCUCCCCCAAGCUUGGAACAAGCUAAUGGUGGUGCCCAUACCCAUGUACUCACACACCCUUCUUGGGUGAUGGAGGUGGUGAGGUAGUGGGCUUAUACUCCGUCUUCCAUGGCAUAAGUUCCGUGUUGAAGAAAGAAGAGCUUGUAUCUGGAUUACUGAAACUUGCAACUAUACUCAUCCUCUUGAAACGAGAUUCAUACUCACAGUUUUGGUUUUGUAGAUCAUAAAUUUGAGCCUGAAGAUCCUGGUGCCUAUCAUGGAGCUUGAAGAUCAUCUCCACAAUUUCCUUGUUAUCCUUCUUAUUGUCACGAAUAAAAUAUGUGAUAAUAGACUGAUUGGCGCUGAGCCCACGCUUCACGAGCCCGUCGCACUUGAAGAUUUCCUGUUCCACUACUACAAGCCUAGCCUUCUCGCUUCCCUCCUUCUUUGGCCCUUGUACAUCCCGGAUGUGAAGCACCCCCUCACGCAUAUCAAUGGUUGAGGGUGUUUCAUCACCUCCAAAAUGUAAGGGUUGAUGACCUUCUCAUAGAACUUGUCCUUGGAGGAGCUUGAUGGCGUCAUGGUGAUCUAGAUCUGUUAGAAAAACAGCUCGAAACAAAAACAUAGGAGAAACUUGUGAUGUGGUGGUCAAAACAGACUGGAGUAUAUAUAAUGACUUUUUCUAGGUCAAAAUACAUGUCCAGGAAGAAAGGGAGUCCAGGAGGCACACGAGGGCCCCACAAGCUAUCAAGGCACGCCUUGUUGCCUUAUGGAUCCCCCGUGGUCUCCCGUGACUCAUUUUUAUUUUUAUAUUUUUUCUAAAAUACCAGAACCAAUAGAACAUAUUUUUUUUUGGAUUUUUUGGAGUUGGUUUACUUGCAGUAUCACAUACCUACCCCCUUUUCAACUUUGUGGAGUGUUCGAGAAGGUAUGUGUUAUGUGUUUUUCCGAUGUCAUCACUUGAAUAAUAUCAGUUUCAACAUUAAAGAGCGUACCUGAAAUAUAAUGUUUAAUUCUUUACCCAUUUACCACCGUACGAUUUGUGCCCUCAAAGUUGUUGAUGUUGAUAGCACCAGAGCGAUAAACCUCUUCAACGAUACAUGGUCCUUCCUGUUUCGAGAGAAGCUUACUUGCAAAAAAUAUGAAACAAGAAUUGUAAAAAAGAACAAGGUCUCCUACAUUGAAUUCUCAUUUUUGUAUUCUCCUAUCAUGCCAUAUUUUAACUUUUUCUUUAGACAUCUUGUCAUUUUCAUAAGUUUGUGUCCUCCAUUUGUCUAACGAGCUAAUAUCAAAUAACCUCUUUUCACCCGCAAGUUUGAAAUCAUAGUUAAGUCCGUUAAUUGCCCAAUAAGCUUUAUGUUCUAACUCAAGAGGUAAAUGCAAAGCUUUUCCAUAGACCAUUUUAUAUGGGGACAUUUCCAUAGGGCUUUUAUAAGCAGUUCUAUAUGCCCAUAGAGCAUCAUCAAGUUUCUUAGACUGAUUCUUUCUAGAUCUAUUAACAGUCUUUUGCAAGAUUAAUUUUAUUUAUCGGUUACUCAAUUAAACUUGACCGCUAGACCAAGGAUGAUAAGGUGAUGCAACUCUAUGAUUGACAUCAUAUUUAGUUAGAAGUUUACGAAAAGCACAAUGAAUAAAAUGUGAACCACCAUGAGUCAUUAAAUAUCCAGGGGCUCUAACCCUCGGGAAAAUAAUAUCUUUAAGCAUUUUAAUAGAAGUGUUAUGAUCAGCACUACUAGUUGGAAUAGCUUCUACACACUUAGUAAUGUAAUAAACAUCAACUACAAUAUGAGCAUACCCAUUAGAGGAAGAAUAAGGUCCCAUAAAGUCAAAACCCCAAAUAUAAAAUGGUUCAAUAGCGAGUGAAUAAUUCAUAGGAAUUUACUCAUGUCUCCCAAUGUUACCAAUUCUUUGCGUUUAUCACAAGAGAAUAAAUACUUACACGCAUCUUUGAAAAAAGUUGGCAAAUAGAAACCAGAUUGUAAUACCUUGUGUGCAGCUCUCUCACCAGCAUGGUGCCCUACGUAAGCCUCGGAAUGAAACUUUCGUAGGAUCUGUCCCAGUUCAUGAUCAUGUACACAAUGUCUAGUAACACCAUCUACUCAUUCUUUAUAAAGAUGUGGGUCAUCCCAAAAGUAAUGUCUUAUAUCAUAAAAGAACUUUUUCUUUUUUUUGGUAGGUGAAACUAGGUUGUAUAUAUUUAGCAACAAUGUGAUCAGCAUAAUCCGCAUACCAAGAAGUACUAUGGGAAGCAUUUAUAACAACUAAUUGAUCAUCAGGAAAAUUAUCAUCAAUAGUUAGUGGGUCAUCAAGAACAUUUUCCAUUCUAGACAAAUUACGUACUAUAGGGUUUUGAGCUCCCUUCCUAUCAAUAAUAUGCAAAUAAAACUCUUGAAGUAAAAGCACCCACCUAAUCAGUCUAGGCUUAGCAUCUUUAUUUUCCAUAAGGUAUUUAAUAGCAGCAUGAUCAAUGUGAAUAGUAACAUUGUAAUCUACAAUAUAAGGUCUAAGCUUAUCACAUGCAAAGACAAUUGCUAAAAAUUCCUUCUCAAUAGUAGCAUAAUUUCUUUGGGCGUUGUCUAAAGUUUUACUAGCAUAACGGUUAACAUUCAAUCUCUUUUCUACUCCUUGUCCUAGAACAGCACCAAAACAUAAUCACUAGCAUUGCAUACAAUUUACAAUGGGAUAUUCCAAUCAGCUGCUUGAACAAUAGAUGCAUAAAUUAAGGCUUUCUUAAGUAUUUCAAAGGCUUCUACACAAUCCUCAUAAAAAAUGGAAUAUCUUCUUGAAGAAGAUUAGUUAAUGGCCUAGAAACCUUUAAUGAAACACCUAUUGAAGCCAGCAUGACCAAGAAAACUUCUUAUACCUUUAACAUCUUUAGGACAUGACAUUUUCUCUAUUGCAUCAACUUUAGCUUUGUAUACCUUAAUACCUCUUUCAUAAAGUUUAUGCCCAAGUACUAUACCUUCAUUCACCAUAAAGUGGCACUUCUCUGAGUUCAUGAAUAUAUUAGUUUCUUCACAUCUCUGCAAAAUUUGAUCAAGAUUGCUCAAGCAAUCAUCAAAAGAAGCCCCGUAAACGUAAAAAUCAUCCAUGAAUACCUCAACAAUCUUUUCACAGGAGUCAUGUCUAUAAGCAUCAGUUCCAAAAGGACAUGUGAAAGUAGUUUUCUCUUGAUCCUCCUUUGGCACUGGUAUUUGAGAAAAUCCAGAAUAUCCAUCAAGAAAGCAAAAGUGUGUGUGCUUACAUAAUCUUUAUAACAUUUGAUCAAUAAAAGGAAAUGGGUAAUGAUCUUUUCUAGUAGCUUUGUUUAAUUUCCUGAAAUCAAGUACCAUCCUAUAACGAGUUACGAUUCUUUGUGGGAUAAGUUCAUUUUUAUAAUUGGGAACAAAAGUUAUACCUCCUUUCUUAGGAAUACAAUGAACAUGACUUACCCAACUACUAUCAACAAUAGAAUGAAUUAUACCUGCCUCUAGAAGUUUUAAUAUUUCAGUUCUUAGCACUUCCUUCUUCUUAGGGUUUAAGCGGCGUUGAUGAUCAACGACAUGUUUAGCAUCUGGUUCCAUAUUAAUCUUGCACUGACAUAGAGUGGGACUCAUGCCCUUCAGAUCAUCAAGAGUAUAUCCAAUAGCAGCUUAGUGCUUCCUCAGAGUUUUAAGUAAUCUAUUUUCUUCAUGCUCUGAAAGGUUAGUGAUACGUCCAUUUUGCAUCAUGAUUUCCUAUUUAUAUUUAUGUUUUUGUUGGUCAUUAUUCCACUUUGUCAUACAAUUCUUAUGCCCUUUCUCUCUGAAUUUACAAGGUACAUCACAAAGAGGGAAAUUGUCGGCAAGUGGAAUUCUGGACGUGAAAACCAAGAAAAGGGGUGAAAAUUCACUAGACUCCAAAUGACGUGAAACUUAACGGAGAAUUUUUAUGGAAUAUACAAGGAUUAUUGGGCCCAAAAUACACCAUAGGGGCUACCUGCUGGCUACAAGCCAAUAGGGCGCCCCUAGUUUGCUUGUGGGGCCCACACCGGUGCCCUGCCCCCUAUUCUCCUAUAAGGUGUGUUUUGAACUAGAAAAAUAUCAAGGGGAUACUUUUGGGACGAAGUGCCACCGUCUUGAGGCAAAAACCUGAGCAAAGGCCCUUUUGCUCUCCAAUAGAGAGAUUCAUCUAGGGAAACUUCCCUUCGGGAGGGGAAAAUCGAAGCCAUUGUCGUCACCAACGCUUCCUCCUUCAUGGGAGGAUCAAUCUUCAUUAACAUAUUCACCAGAGCCGUCUCAUCUCAAACCCCAGUUUAUCUUUUUAUCUCAAAACCUCACAUUGGUACCCGUGGGUUACUAGUAGUGUUACUUAUAUCUCGUAGUUGAUGCUAGUUUGUUUACUUGGUGGAAUAUCUUAUGUUCAGAUCCUUAAUCAUCAUCAUUAUACCUUUGAUCUUGAACAUGUUGAUUAUGUGUGAGUAGUUAAUUUUUUUCCCGAGGACAUGGGAGACGUCUUGUUAUAAGUAAUCAUGUGAAGUUGGUAUUCGUUCGAUAUUUUGAUGAUAUGUAUGUUGUUCCUUCUCUUAGCCGUGUCAUGUGAACGUUGACUACAUGGCACUUCACCAUAUUAUGGGCCUAAGGGAAGACAUUGUGGAGUAAUAAGUAGAUGAUCGGUUCCUAGAGUGACAAAAGCUUAAACCCUAGUUCAUGCAUUAUUUCAUAAGGCACUGUUUUGGAUCCGCAUGUUUCAUGCUAUGGUUAGAUUAUCUUGAUUCUUCUUUCAUAGUUGCGGAUGCUUGUGAGAGGGGUUAAUUAUAAGUGGGUUUAUUGUUCAACUAAGAACAACACCGUAGCACCAGUCCACCCACAUAUCAAAUUAUCAAAGUAACAAAUGCAAAUCAACUCAACAUGAUGAACAUGACUAGACAUAAAUUCCCACGUGUCACCGAGAGUGCUUGCUUCAUAUAAGAGUACCCUCAGGCAUGUCCUUUGCUAUAAAAAGGAUUGGGAUAUCUUGUUGCACACUUUCUACUAUUGUUACUUGUCACUUGUUACAAGUUAUCUUUCUACAAAACUAUCUAUCAUUGUUACUCAUACCACUUGCAGAGAAUACCUUGCUAAAACUACUUAUGAUUUCCUUCUGCUCCUCAUUGGGUUCGACAACCUUACUUAUAAAAAGGAAUAUGAUUUAUCCCCUAUACUUGUGGGUCAUCAAGACUCUUUUCUAGUGCCAUUUUCGGGGAGUGAACCACCUUUAGUGAGUGGAAUUUGGUAAGGAAACAUUUUUGGUACAUGGUGAAAUUUACCGUUGCUUGUUACUAUGGACAAUCACCCUUUGAGUGGUUUGUUCGGGGCAUCUUUGCCUCAAAUGGAAGUGGGAAAUCUUGCUCCUCCACCAUCUGAACGUACUUAAAAUAUCUAUUAUGUGAUUCCUUCGGGUAUGUUAGAGAAAGGGACGGUACAACUCACCCUGAUUACCACUUGAUAUAUGUAGAUGCGAUUUUUGGAUUAUUUAAGCUUACAGGUUUAUCCGAGGACAAAGUCUAGAAGAAGGUUUUUCCUUUCUGUUUGGAGGGAAAAGCAUUGAUGUGGUAUAAGCUAUUGGGUGAUAUUGGAUCAUGGGCUGAAAUCACUUGAAGCUGGAAUUUCAUCAGAAGUUUUAUCCUAUGCAUCUAGUUCAUCGUUAUGGGAACUUUAUAUAUAAUUUUUGGCCUCGUGAAGGAUAAAUCAUCACUCAAUCUUGGGGAGGCUUAAAUCUAUGAUGCACACUUUCCCCAACCAUGAGCUCUCAAGAGAAAUGAUUGUACAAAACUUUUAUGCUCGACUUUCUCAUGAUGAUCAAUUAAUACUCGAUUCUUCUUCUACCGGUUCCUAGAUGAAGAUAACUAUUGAGUUCAAAUGGGAUCUUUUGGAAAUAAUUAAAUGCAACUUUGAAGAUUGGGAACUUGAUAAAGGUAAAGAGUCAGGUAUAAAUAUUGAGUUUGAUUGUGUUAAAUCUUUUAUGGAAACUGAUACUAUUCAUAAGUUUAGCAAUAAAUAUGGGCUUGACUCUGAGAUACUAGCUUCUUUGUGUGAAUCAUUUUCUACUCAUGUUGAUCUCCCUAAGGAGAAGUGGUUUAAAUUUCAUCCACCCAUUGAAGAAUUAUUAGAGGAAACCAUUAAGGUUGAGGAAUAAAUAAUUGUUAGCCAUGUUGAUCCACUUGUUCCUCCUGCUUACAUUGAGAAACCACCUUUUCCUAUUAGGAUUAAGGAACAUGCUAGAGCUUAUAUUGUGGUUAAUAAAAGUAAUAUCAGGACACCUAAAUUCUGGUUAAUAAAUGUUAGGAUUAAGGAUUCAUGCUAUAGUGAUCAAUGUAAUUAAGUUACACUAAACCAUGAGGUUAAGCUAAUGCUUUUGCUAAACAAUGUGUGAUCACUAUGAAUCAUAUGUCAUUUAAAUUUCCUUUUGAAAUUCAAAAUUCAAAUAAUAAGUGGAUUAAAUAUUUUGACAGACAUAAAAACUAAAAUCAUGGUUCCUUUGCAAAUAUUCAUAUAAUGAUUAUCAAAUAGGAACCAUUUUUUGCUAGGUAUUUAAACGCCCUAAAUUUUUUAAAACACAUGCCAAAUCAAUUAUUAAAUGCCCUUUUGGUUUAAAUAAAUUCCAAAUAAAUUAUAAAGGCUCCCAAACUUUUUAUGGCGGUGCUAUAUAUUGCAAGAUGAAUAAUGGACCAAGUGCCAUAAUUUUGCAAAAGAUUUUUGUUACUAAAAUAAAACAAACAUAAACAAACAAAAAAAGGAAAGGUAAAUGGAAAAGAAAUAAAUGAAAAGGGGCCUAUGUGCAUUAUGCACUUAGGCCCGUCGACCCAGCCCACCUAGCCCCCAUCGUCCCCUUGUGUUCACGAGAGGGGACGUGGGUGCGGCGAUGCCCGCCACCGGCCGCCCCCAUCGCUGUGGCGCACAUCCGGCACCUCCCCGACGCCUACAAGCCCCCUCCCCCCCGCACGCCACCGGAAGCCUAGCUGAACCCCAGAUCCCCGUCACCCUCUCCCUCUCCUCCCUCAUGCUGCUCUACUUUCCCUCGCAACCAUGGUUGCUUCGACCGUCACCGUAGCCUGCUCACUAGCAUAGCCACCAAACCUCCCACGCACGACCGAUGUGUCCAGCAGCUCCACCGGCCUCGUCUCCUUCCUCCCCGACGACGAGAUCGAGCCCGGAGCCAUCGCAACUCGCCAUCGCCCCCUUCUUCCUCCUCGGAUUGCCGCCGCUCCUCGUCGUCGAUCCGUCUGCCUCAACCCUCCCGUGAGCCUGCUUUUCUCCUCUACAAGGCCGAGGUGAGCCACCCAUUGAUUCCCCUCUGCCCCCGUAUUAUUCGAGCCAUAGCGCCGCUCCCCGCCGUCGCCGGAGCUCCGCUGCCACUGCCUAGCUCUGUGUCGUCGAUGUAGUGCCCCUCAUGCUAGAAUGAGCAUGCCAUCAUGCUUGUAGCCACGCAUAGGCGCUUAAUUUCUUCUCGUCCUCGAGUAGAUAAAUGAUAACACAAUAAUUUCUGUGGUGACAUGCUAACACACAUAUAAGAACUCCAAAGUAAAGCAAGUAAGAUAUGCAAUUCAAGUCAAGACAAUAACAUGUAAGAGUUUAUAUCUAGUAUUGAAUUUAGCAAAGUAAGAACAUAAAGGUGCAAGAGCUCUCGCUGUCCGUGACUCGAAUGUCUCCAUAUGGUGUUUGCAUGCAAAAAGUGGGAGAUGGGUUGAGAUCAUAUUUUUUUAUUGAGAACUCAAUCUACUAAACCUCACACUUGGUCUCCUUCGGAAUCUUAUUUUGACUCAUCCCCAGACCACUAGUCAGGCACAAGUCAAAAUGAUCCUCUCCCUUUCGACUUUGAGCACUCAUGCAAUGGAUGAGUGUAAGCAAGAUAUGUUGGCACUUAGGAUGGCAAAUAGAAUAAUGAUGGGGAAUCAAGACAAAAAGAUGUGAAAGGCUCACAUCAAUGAAGACAACCAUAGGCGAGAGAAAGCCAAAUGAUAGAUAUGAUGUGAGGAGUAGGGAUUUCCAUGUAACACAUGCACAUAUGAGCUAAGGUAAGCUCUCUAAUGGAACUAGUGGGGGUGCAUCCAACUUGUUUGCUCAUGAACACCUAGAGCUCAUUUGAGGAGGCUCAUCAUUGGAAUAUGCAAACCAAGUUCUAUAGUGUAAGGGUCCCCACAUAGUUAUGCAUGAAUGAUAAUCUCUAUGUAGUACAAAUAUAGAAAUGGAGUACGAGUGUGGAUCUUUCAAAAGGAAUAGUAGUGUUGCCCCCUUCUCUCUUUUUAUUUUUUAUUUUUUAUGGCCUCUUUGGCUUUUAUUUUUAUCUCUUAGUUGUCCUCUUUGGGAUCUUUUUUGUCCUCUAUGGGAUAUUUUCCUCACUUAAGGGCAACACUCUAUGUUUUACAUGAAUAAAAAGAAGAUCAUCACACUUUAUAAGAAGUAUUCAACAUAAAGAGAAGUGAAAACUAUCAUGAUGUAUGCAAAUGUAUGCCUCUGAGCCAGCGUAGCAGGAUAUGCAAUGAUACUAGCGCGUCAUGUAGCAAUAAUUGGGGCAAGGCCCAACUAUCAUGCGGCUCUACGAUCAAGCAAAAGCAUGGAUGGCAUGAAGAUCAAGUCAUGAGAUGGUGGAUGUUGCAUGAUAAUGUAUCUCAGAAAGGCUAUGGAAAUGUCUUAAUAGGUAGGUAUGGUGGCUGUUUUGAGGAGAGAUAUAAUGAGGCUUAUGUAUGACGGAGCGUAUCAUGUCGUGGGUUUGGAUGCACCGGCGGGGUUUGCACCAAAUCUCAAUGUGAGAAAGGGCAAUGCACGGUGCCGAAGAGGCUAACAAAAUAUGGAUGGUGGAAGUGCUAACAAUCGAAUACUCACAUUAGUCCGAAGAACUCAUACACUUAUUAUCGAUAGCUCUCUAUCUAGUUAGGAAAUUCACAAAGAGACAAGUUCCUCGAGGAGGAGUGUUUGGGGGCGCAUCCUCGACUCAUGGUAACGUGAGGGUACUCUAUAUAUUCCAACCCCUCCACAGGUUAGCGAUCAAUUUAGUAGCUAGAGUUCACAACUAUUUUUUAGUUUUUGAAAAACACACAGAUCUCCCAAAAUACGACACCUAUCAUUUAUAGGCUUAAGCUCUUGGCACCAAUAGUCCAAACAUUACUCAAAUCAAUACCUCAAAACUAUUGCAAGAUACUACUAUACUUAAAUAGCACCCUCAGUUACCUACUCAUGCAAGACACACAACUCAGUGCAACAAGCCAACUCUCUAAACAAGAUAAGCAUGAUAACUCAAGAGAGUUCCAAGAGCAACCUAAAUAAAAGCUCUUAGAAAGAUAUAGCAUGAAAACUAAGAGCUAAGCAUGACAGUAGCUAUGAAAAGAUAGAGAACACACAAAAAAGAUAAGCAUGAAAACCUAUGUUGUGUUCUAGAGUGGAAUGGAGUGUGUUUAUCUCCCAAACAAGGUAGGCUAGGUUCCGACUUGUUAUGAACUACAAGCAAAACUAAAACAAACUAAAAAGUAAAUAGCGGGACGCUCCAAGCAUAGCACAUAACAUAUGAAGUGAUAAAAAUAUAACAUGGAGAUGGACGAACUGAUGAUUGUUGAUAGAGAAGGGGAUGCAUGGGGGCGUCCCCAAGAUUAGACGCUUGAGUAUCCUGGAAUAUUUCUUGGGGUGCAUGGGGGCAUCCCCAAGCUUGAGCGCUUGACACUCCGGCAUCUUCUUUCAUGAUCUCCCAUCGCAUACUUGAAAACUCCCUUCAUACGAAACUCAUUAUAAGCUGAUUAGAGUGGUUAGUACCCUGAAUAAAAUAAUUCAUUACCUGCUGAAAAUAAAGAUUUUCAUGAAAAGCUACUGUUUCUCAUGGUUGCCAAAAGGUUUUUGCAAAUAAAAAGUAAGCUUAGGAUUUGCAAAAUUAUAAAAACGCAAAACGUGGCAGAAUUUGUGAAAAAUAGAACAACAGGUAGUACAUAAUUUAUUCGGGCCACUUCUGCAACUCAAAUAAAAAAACUCAGAACAGAUGCCACAAAGGCAAUUAUAUAGAGCAUGCUGAAACAAAAUUCAGAUCAAAAAUAUGAUCUGGUUAUUUUUGGCAAAUUUUUCUGUCAAGCAUACCUGUUUCUGGACAACAUGUCACAACUUUUGAACUUUUUUGCAAUCGGAGGCCAUAACUUGGCACAAAGCUUAAAAAUAAAGAUACAGUGAUGUUGCUACAGUAGUAACAAGCAUCAAGGCCACUAAAACUGAAAGUAAAAACUCAAAGUAAAGAUAACAAGGGUUGUCUCCCUAGAGCUCUUUCUUUAUAGCCAUAAAGACAGGCUUAAGAUUUUAAUGAUGCUCUCGAAGGAAUAAGAGUUGUAGAACAAAAGAGAGCAUCAAGAAAAAAAUACCAAACACACUUACGUCUAACAUGCUUCCUAUGCAUAGGAAUAUUGCAAUAGAAUAAUUCAUUGAAGCACAGAGCAAUAAGCAUAGGAAGGCAAACCAAGUGCAACUUCAAAACCUUCGACAUAAAGAGAGGGAACUUGAUAUUAUUUAAAUAUCUAUAAGCAUAUGUUCCCUUCUUAUAUUAAUUUUCAGUGGGAUCAUGAAUAAACUCAACAAUAUAACUAUCAUAUAUGGCAUUAUUUCCAUGAUCCACAUGGACUUCAUGAAGAGGAUAAAAUUUGGAGUAAAAGAGAGACUGAAUCUCUUCCCAAUCCCGUAUGUGAGAAUCAUCUAGUAGCCUAUACCAUUCCAAUGCUUUUCCUUUUAGUGACAAGGCAAAUCAUUUCCUCAUGACUCCAUCUCUUGUCAAACCUGAAAUCUUAAACAACUCACAAAGUUCUGUAAGUUUCAAUAGAUGAAUACUAGGAUUGACUGUUCCAUCAUAACAAUCAUUCCUAAUUAAUUAAAUUAUCCCAAGUGGUAUUUUGAAUUGGAUACAUUCAAUAGGUGGAGUAGACUUCUCUACCACGGGUGUGGUAAAGAAGCCUUCCCCAAGCAGCGAACUAAGAGUGCAGUUUUCCAUUAACCCUAACAAAACAUCAUGUUGAGAAGGGGGUAUUUAGCAACAAGCAAGAACACAACAACUAUUUUUUUGUGAUUUUUGGUAUAAGACUCUAAAUAAAAAACUAGAAACCAAACUAACAAGACUAAAAAGCAGAAGUAGAAGAUAGCGUGCAACUCCCUAUCUUGAAGACUGGAGUCCCCGACAAUGGCGCUAGAGAACUUUGCUUGAUGACGAGAUGAUGUAUAUACUUCUCGCUCCUCGUUGGUUACCCCAAGUGGAAGGUUGAGAUGUAGUCAGCAGCAAGUUUUCCCUUACUCAGAGACUGUAAGGUUUAUCGAACCAGGAGGACUCCUAGGACCAACAAGUAGGUGUCUUCCACCUUGGCUCUAGUAGAGGACGUGGACCUGCACACACAACAAAUAACUUUGCUCCCAACGAGUACAGAGAGGUUGUCAAUCUCACCGGCCUUGUAGUUUGCAAAGGAUCAAAACACAAGCGGGAAAAGUAAUAGUGAUUACAACGGGAAAGUAAAUGAAAACGGUAAAUGGUGGAGGUGUAAACGAUGAUGGUGAUAUGGACCGGACUCACAUGAUGUUCACUAGUGAUGUCUCUCUCCCAAAAGACGAUAAACAACUAUGCUUGGGUAAACUAAUUACAGCUGGGCAAUUGACAGAAUCAUGAACGCACUGCAAUGCUAAUUAUGCUACUUGAUAGUUAGAGGUUCAAUAGUAAUGCGCAGUAUGCCAAGACAAGUAGACUGUUUAUUCAUCAGCAUCUACUUACUAAUCAUCCACCUUGAGAUAUAUAUCCAGAACAUCUCUCCGGUAUCAAAUUGCGAGCCCCACCCAAAGUGUAAACUCAAAGCAACGAACAGCUGCAUUAACGAACUAUGCGUAAGGUAAACAGUCCUUGCAACCGUGGUCACAAGCACCGUUGUUUCCUCCAUGGUGGCAACAACACAUCCCCUAGUCUCAUGUUUCUAUCACUCAAGCUAGACAUCGAGGGGCAUGAACCCACAAUCAUGCAUAACACUCCCUCUUGGAGUUGCAAUUUACUACUCAACCAAAGCAAUAAAUAGCAACGGAGAACAUGCAUGAAUCACUAAGGAACAUAAUAUAAAAGGAUAAUCAAAUAUAUAACUCAUAACAAUCUGAACAUAAUCUCAUAAUCCAUCGGAUUCCAACAAACUGAGCAUAGCAAUAGCAAGAGAAUUACCUAGAUGCCUUGAUCAUGUAGGGCAGCUCACAAGGACUAACCAUUGAAGCACAAGAUUGGAGAGAAGACAUCACAUAGCUACUGGUCAUGGACCCAUGGUCCAAGGAAGACUAAUCACGAGAGGUCCGGGAAGCGUCCAUGGCGGUGAAGAAGCUCCCGGAGGUCAAUCCUCCCUCCGACAGGGUGUCGAGAAGAGGUCUCCUGACACUCCCGAUCUCGGAAGCGCUGUGGCGGCGGAACGAUGGAGAAAUUCACGAUUCUGGAUGUGAUGGAAGGGUUUUCUCGUGGAGGAGUAAAUAUAGGCCAAAGGAGGGCACCGGAGGAGGUGGGACCCACCCAGGCGGCCUCUUGGCGCGGCCAGGGGGUAGGCCGUGCCCACAGGUCGCGUGGGCGGCCCCUGGCCCCCUCUGGCCCAUCUUCGGUGAUGUGGAAGGUUCCGGUACGCUAUUUUUUAUAUAUGUUUCUUGGAUUUUUUGGGUUUUGAAAAAUUGGGUAAAACCCCCUACAAAAAAGACAUCAACAGACAUGAACUGGCACUGGGUGCACUGAGUUAGUAGGUUAGUCCAAAUAUGUGUAAAAAGAUAUAAAAGUGUAGCAAAACAUAUAACAAUGUCACCCAAAAGAUCAUGGAACAAGCAGAAAUUAUAGAUACGUUUGGGACGUAUCAGCGCUGCCCAAGCCAUCAAAACGACGAAUGCCCCGUGUGCUCAAUUACCUUGAGCCCGAGAUUCGGCCUCCACAGCGAGCUCAUUUCUGAUGAACUCUGGCCACCCUAGCCCCUCACGUCGGUUGGAAUGGAAGAGCAUGAUAAUACCCAAGUGCAAGGAAUCAUCAUAGCACUUUCCAAAGAUGGAAGUGGUAAGUACGGAGUGUCAAACCCACAAGGAGAUAAAGGUAAGUUCAAUAUUCUCUCAAUUCCUAUCUGCGAUUGAUACAACUCUACAUACACCAAACGUUCGCUUCUAUCUACUAACGAGAGAUAUAACUGCAUUGUGGGUACAAAGAGGAUAGCUUUGCAUGAUAUUAGAGAACUCAAAUAUAAAAAUAUUUGCGGCACUAAAUAGAAUUAUAAUAUAUUACAAUAUAUUACAAAUAGCAAGUGUGGAAUAAUGAUGGUAUGGAGUGCAAAAUCAUCCUAGGCAAUUGAUAACGAGAUCGAUAAUCAUUCUUGCAAUUUUAUAUGAGGGAGAUGCAUGAGCUAACAUACUUUACGUACUUGGAUCAUAUGAACUUAUGAUUGGAUCCGCAACUACUAGAGAUCAUUAAGGUAAAACCAACCAUAGAAUUAAACAUCAAGUUCCCUUUACUCCCAUACACAAACAAGUCCCUUAUCGGCGUAAGCUUCUGUCAGUUUAGCCACCCACUAUAAGCGAAUCAUGAACAUAUUGCAAACCUACAGCAAGAAUUCCUUCACGUGCACGCUGCACGAAGGGCACCAUAGGAUAGCACAAAAUAAAACAUACACUCAAAUCAAUCAAGAUCAUCAAUCAACCUAAAGGACAACAUAAAUCUACUCAAACAUCUAGGAUGGCAACACAUAAUUGAUUAAUAAUAUAUGGCAUGAAACACCAUGUUCAAGUAGGGGAUUACAGCAGGGCGCGGGAGAGUGAACCACCAUAGAUAGAUGAGGGAAGGUGAUGGAGAUGGUGAUGUUUGAUGAAGACGAUCACCGUGGUGAUGGUUCCUCUGGCGGCACACUGGCGCCGCCGGAAGAGAGGGGGAGAGAGUUCCCCCUUUAGUAUUCCUCCUCCAUGGCAUCUGCUCAUCUAGGGAGAGGUUCUCCCUCUAGUCCUUGGCUGUCAUGGCACCUGGAGGGGCGAGAGCCCCUCCGAGAUUGGAUCUCUCUCUCUCUCUCUCUCUAUGUUUAUCUCUUCUGGUAGGGUACUAGAACGUAUCCAGAUUGGUUAUUUGUCGAUACAGGGUGUUGCGGCGUUGGAGCGGAAGUUAUCCCUUUACUUCUGGGGUUUCUGGUAUAUAUAGGAUUUUUUAGCGUUGGAAUCACGCCAAACGGAGCCUCAUGGGCCCCACAAGCUAUCAGAGCAUGACCUAGGGGGGCUCUCUAUUAGCUUGUGGCCCAUAGGUGGCUCUCCUCGAGUGGUUCUUCAACCCAAUAAAUAAAAAAAUAAUAUAAAAGUUUCGGGCAAUUCCGAGAAAUUUCAUUUUGUGCACAAAACAAAACACCAUGCUAAUUUUGCUGAAAAGAGCGUCAUCCCGGGUUAGUCCUAAAUAAAUCAUAUAAUGUGCAUCAAUACCAUAUAAAAGUAUUGUAAUCAUAGGCAAAAAUGGCAUGAAUGCUUCGUAAAUUAUCGAUACUUUGGAGACGUAUCAACAUCCCCAAGCUUAAUUCCUACUCCUCCUCGAUUAGGUAAAUGAUAAAAGAAAUAAUUUAUGAAGUGUGCAUGCUAGCAUAGUGUAUAAGUUUGAUCAAUGAUAAUUCCAAUAAAUUUUUCUAGCAUCAUAACCAACAACUUUUUCAUAAAAUCAACAUGGUUGAGUAGCAAUCAAUUCACAUGUCAUGGUUCAAAGAAUGCAUUCUCUUGAAAAUUAACAACAUAUGUUCUUAGUCAUCAAGCAACUUCAAUAAAUCAUCAAGUCUAAGUAAGAGCUCCACAAACUCAAUUAUCAUAUAGUCUUCUAUGAUUGCUAAUACUCGAGGCAUAUUUUUAGAACAAACAACAUCCAUCAAACACAGAGAAAGAUAGAGGCUUCAAGUUUUGGCUCCCAACAUACUUAUCAUAAAUAUAAUUGUCAACAAUAAUGAAUCACGAUCAAAUAUAUUUGACUGGAUAUACAUGUUUGGAUCUUUCCCCACCACAUGGUUCUUGGCAACUAAUAUAUUGAGGUUGGAAUAAGAAGUUGACUAACAUGAAAGUAAAUAAAUUGUCCCUUCGCUCAUGGAAGCAUGGAUUCGCAUAGGUGCGAGAGGUCAUUAUUUUAAAAUAGACAUGAAUAUGUAAUUUUGGGUGGUGUGCCUUUCUUGUCAAUGUCACAAUAGAGUUUUCAAUAUAUUCCACACUAAUCACAUUAUUGGCGGUUCCCAAAAAUAAUUGAAAUUUUACUCCCACUCAACCAUUCAAUCACAUUCCAUAGCUAGUCGUAUCCACUGGUGCCCUCCAAACAAUUAACUUUCUAUGGGGAGUUCUUGUUUAUUUAUUUUUGUAUUAUGCAGGACCGGGCAUCCUUUUUACCAGCUUUCCUCGUGCAAUGACCAGUGAAUAAACACUCAUCUUGAGAAUAACUCGCUUAGCAUGGAAAAUAAUGACCACCCCGUUGCUCCAUGAGCGGUAUGGGCACACAAAACAAAUGUUUAUUUGAAUGUUUAGAGGUGGCACAUGAAAAUUUACUUGGAAGGCACUGAAAUACCACAUAUAGGUAGGUAUAGUUGUCGGGACCCCGAUCCUAAGCCAUAGGAAUCCAGCCUGUAACACAUCGCAUCCCUUUGCGGUCUCACGCACGGUUAACCCCACGGCUGCAGCCUUACCUUAGCCGGGACCGUUUGCGUCUUUUGACUCACGUAUGCAAUUGAGUCGCUAGCAUUCCAGUGUCAAAGAACCCGGAUCGACAAGUCUAGUCAUAAACCAAAGUGGCAGUACCGCACAGGGACAAGCAUACAUGACCCAACAAAGCAGGUGUCGGUCACCAGCGAAUGUAGACGAGUCGUAGCAAGCUACAAGGACUCCAUUACAUCGCGUGACAUUUCCCCAAAGGGGACAGACACAGCAGCUAAGAAGGACACAUGCCGGUCAACCAAUGUGUCCGGAGCAGUAGCGAGCUACCAUGGCUCGUUGGAUCACAAAGGGGCAUUUCCCUGUAAGGAGUGCUACUAAAGUUCACGGCUAGGUAAUCGAACCCCAUACAUAUCAAGUAUGACACACGUACGCAUGGCAUACCGAUAUGUAUAGAUACAUCGAUGGCAUCACAACAUAACCAUAAACAUACAAGCUUUAUUUAAGAGGCUCGGAAGAGCCACACACAUAAUAUUACACAGUAAGGGUCUCACGACCCAUAAUAGCAGUCAUUCCGUUACAAGCCAGCGGAAGAGUUUAAAACUGUCUGAGUACAGACAGGUGCAACUAGAAGGCACAUGGCCUGACUAUACUACAGACCCAACAUAGGGCCAGAUCGUAGCUGGGACACCAGCUACUCGUCGUCGUCGAUGUCUAUGAAGAACCCUCCAUUAGGGUCAUUAGUAACCUCUGCAACAUUUAUUAAGCAAACAUGAGUACGGAGGUACUCAGCAAGACUUUAGGAUAACUAUCUACUCAUGCAAUGUAUCAAUAAGGUAUGGUGGGGUUUCAUGCGGAAAGCCAGCAUUUGACUCGUGGCUAGACAACUUGCACUUUUAAAUAAUUUUAACAACUUGACUUCUCGCACACGAGUCCACUAACACCAUAACAAUACACCAUCGUGGGAUCAUUUCGUCUCCAUACGGAAAUGCCGUCCACGACACUCACGCUUAUCUUGACAAUUUUAUGAGUAGCCAUUAAAGUUAUCUAUGAACAACAUAUGUCUCCAAGUAGUCCAUAUCCAUGGACGCGGCUAUUCGAAUAGAUCAUAACCCUGCAGGGGUGUACUUCGUCACACACGCUCUCGCNNNNNNNNNNNNNNNNNNNNNNNNNNNNNNNNNNNNNNNNNNNNNNNNNNNNNNNNNNNNNNNNNNNNNNNNNNNNNNNNNNNNNNNNNNNNNNNNNNNNUGCUCCGACGUCGGUCGCUCCAUGAACCGACUGACAUAGCCGACGGAGAAUGCCAAGUCCGGCCGUGUGUGAGCAAGGUAGCGAAGGCUCCCCACAAGGCGUCGGUACUGCGUAGCGUCCACUUCCUCCGUCGUGCUGUCGCGGCUCAGUUUCAGCCUCUCCUCCAUCGGAGUGAGAGCUGGGUGGCAGUCGGUGAGCCCAGCUAGCUCAACGAUGCGCUUGGCGUAGGCGGACUGUCGAAGCGCGAUCCCGGAGUGAUCCUGGUGCACCUCGAUCCCUAGAUAGAAGGAGAGGAGCCCCAGAUCACUCAUCUGGAAGGUGGCCUUCAUGUCUUCCUUGAACGCCGCCACCUCUGCAUCUUUGAUGCCGGUGAUCACCAAGUCGUCAACAUAGACGCCCACCAGCAGGGCAUUUCCUCCGCUGCCCCGUCGGUAGACGGCCGCCUCAUGCGGGCUUUGCUCGAAGCCCAUCUUCUUUAGCGUGGAGUCCAGCUUGGCGUUCCACGCCCUAGGUGCCUGCUGUAGGCCGUAGAGGGCCUUACGCAGGCGGAGUACCUUGCCCUCCUGGCCAGGGAUCGCAAAUCCCGGUGGUUGAUGCACAUAGACUUCCUCCUUCAAGUCGCCAUUGAGGAAUGCCNNNNNNNNNNNNNNNNNNNNNNNNNNGAAUGCCGACUUGACAUCCAUGUGAUGGACACGCCAGCCCUCCUGGGCAGCUAGCGCAAGGAGAAGUCGCACGGACUCCAUCCGUGCCACGGGAGCGAAAGCGUCGUCGAAGUCGACUCCUUCCUGCUGCAAGAAGCCUCGAGCCACCAAGCGAGCCUUGUGCUUGAUGAUGGCGCCGGCUCCAUCCCUCUUCAGCUUGAACACCCACUUAAGGGUGAUUGCGCGGUGACCACGAGGGAGGUCAGCGAGCUCCCAGGUGCGGUUCUGCUCGACCGCAUCCAUCUCCAACUGCAUCGCGGCGCGCCAUGCCGCGUCUUUCUCGGCCUCUGCAAAAGACCGAGGUUCGCCGUCCUCACACGCGAGUUGUAGUUGUGCCUCCAGGUCGCGUGGCACCAGUCCCGGCACCGGCUGGUCGCCGAGUAGAUUAUCCAUCGUACGAUACCGUAGCGGUUCGCCGCUAUGAUACGCGUCGAUGCGCUCCUCGUCGUGAGUGAGCGGGGAAGCGAACUUCAUCGGGUUGUGCUCUGCGUGAGCUGGUGCUGAUGAAGACGAGUCCGGAGUGGUGACUGUCGGGGCUGGAGUAUGCGGCGUCGCCGGUUGUGGUGCCGUCGGCGUAGCAGGCACCGGAGUCGAUGUAGUUUUGGGGGCUGGGGUAGACGUGCUCGGCGAAGAGGAGCUGCUUGCUCCCCCAGCUUCCUUGAAGUGGACGUACUCGACAAUGAAGUCGUCAUACGUCGGCGUCGAGCCGUCGUCCACCGCCUUGUCCCAUUUCCACCCUCGCCCUUCGUUGAACACGACGUCUCGCGCCGUGCGCACACGCUGUGUCUUUGGGUCGAGGAUGCGGUAGGCCUUUGAGCCCUCCGCAUAGCCGAUGAAGACUCCCGGAGUACUCCUGUCGUCGAGCUUGCCGAUGUGGCCGAGCUCUUUGGCGAACGCAAGGCAGCCAAAGACCCGCAAGUGAGAGACCGCCGGCUUCCGCCCAUGCCAGGCCUCGUACGGCGUCCUGCCGUCGAGUGCCUUAGUAGGCGAGCGGUUGAGGAUGUAGACGGCCGUUAGCACCGCCUCUCCCCAGAAAACAGCCAGCAUCCCUCUCUGCUUGAGGAGAGCCCGAGCCAUCCCCACAACCGUCUGGUUGCGGCGCUCGACGACGCCGUUUUGCUGCGGGCUGUACGGCGCGGAGUAGUGGCGCUGGAUGCCCUCAUCAGCGCAGUACGACGCGAAUUCAGCCGCCGUGAAUUCGCCACCGUUGUCAGUGCGCAACACGCGCAGUUUGCGGCCGCUCUCCGCCUCCACAGCAACCUGCGCACGCCUGAUGGCGUCCGGCGCCUCUCCCUUACUGCCGAGGACCAUCACCCACAUGUAGCGAGAGAGGUCGUCGACGAGCAGCAGGAAGUAGCGUCGACCUCCUGGUGUGGCUGGCGUCACCGGGCCGCACAGAUCUCCGUGCACGAGCUCCAGUCUCUCCUUGGCCCGAAAACUCGCCUGUUGGGGAAAGGGGAGUCGUCUCUGCUUCGUCAGCACACAGAUGUCGCAGAACUGCUCCACAUGGUCGAGGCAUGGCAGGCCUCGCACCAUCUCCUUGGCACUUAGACGCUUCAGGGCCUCAAAAUGAAGGUGCCCAAAGCGCUCAUGCCAUUGCCACGCCUCGUCGUCCCGACGGACAGCGAGACAGACCGGUUGUGCCACCUGCACAUCAAGGACGUAGAGUCGAUUUUCACCUCUGGGUACCUUGGCGAGAAGGCGGCGCUGGCGAUCCCAGAUGCGUAGGACCCCAUGCUCAAUCAGCACGCGUGAGCCGUUCUCAUCCAGCUGUCCCAAGCUGAUGAUGGAGUUCCUUAGCGCGGGGAUGUAGUAGACACCGGUGAGCAGCCGGUGCUCUCCCGUCUUGGUGGUGAAGAUGACGGAGCCGACGCCCUUAAUUUCCACAGCUGAGGCAUCCCCAAACUUGACGGAGCCUCGCGCGUCGGAGUCGAGCUCGGCGAAGAAUUCCCUUCGACCGGUCAUGUGGUGGGUGGCGCCGGUAUCGAGGCACCACCCCGCAGUCUUGUCCUUCCCGGAGCCAUCGCCGAGAAGAGCGUGUGCUUUUGGCUCGUCGAGGUGGAGGGGAGCCUUUGCGACUGGUGUCGCUGAAGGUAGCUCGAUGCUUGCAUGCGCCAUGAACAGAGCCGUCUCCUCCUCCGCCGCCUGUGCGACGUGAGCCUGGCCUUGUCGUGGUUGGCGACACUCAUUGGCCCAAUGGCCAAGCCGGUCACAGUUGUGGCAGCUGUUGUCCUGUGCCGGCUUGGGCUUGCCAGCGACGCCGUCCUUGGCGCCUCCGCGGGCGUCACCUUCGGCACGUCCUUGUGCCUUGCCGCCCCUUCGCGCCUUGCGCUGCUUGCCGCGCUUGCGGCCGCCCGUCGUGGAAGAAGGCUCCCCCUUCUUCUUGUCACCAAGGCUGGCAUCCCACUGCUCCCGAGUUAGGAGCAGCUUCCCGCCGGUGGUGAUGGGCCCCGAGGGAGGCUGUGGCUCGUCGGUGUCGACGACCUUGAGGCGACCUAUCGCCUCCUCGAUCGUCAUCGUGGAGAGGUCCAGCAAAGACUCGAUCGAGCGAGCCAUCUGCUUGUACUUCUCGGGAAUGCACCGGAAAAGCUUCUCGACAGCUCUCUCCUCGGUGUAGGUGGCAUCGCCGAACUUCACCAUCUUCUGCAGUAGAGUGUUGAGACGGAGAGCAAAGUCAUCAACGUCCUCACCUGGCUUGAAAGCCAGGCUCUCCCACUCCUUACGAAGUGCCUGCAGUGUGGACUUGCGAGCACGGUCGCUGCCGAUGCGUGCCGCGUCGAUGGCGUCCCAAGCCUCCUUGGCAGUCCGCUUGUUGGAAAGCGAGAACUGCAUCUCGGGCGGGACUGCGGCGACGAGGGCGUCCAACGCCCGUCGAUCUUCUUGGUGGUCGACGUUGCUGUCCUGGACUGCCUCCCACAGCCGCCGCACCUGGAGCCUGAUCUUCAUGAUCGCGGCCCACUCGACGUAGUUGGUUUUAGUGAGGGUAGGCCACCCAACACUGGGACCAACAUCCCUGACCACAGUCCGGACCUCGUAGAGGCCGCGGUCCUGGUCGUUGCAGCCGCCGUCGCCGUGCGCACCUGCACCUGGAGCGCGGGCGUGCUCGGCUGCCCACUGCGCUGUCCGCUCUUGCGCCACUUUGGCACGGUCUGCGUCGGCACCGUCGUCCGCAGGCGCGGAGCCGUUGGAGCUGCCGGAGCCGACGCGGAGUGCCUUGGCACCCGCUGUAGCCUCACGUGCUGCCUCCGCUGCUGCUGCUGCUUCUACCUCCGCCCUGGCUGCUUCUACCUCCGCUCUGGCUGCUGCCAGCUCCGCUGCAGCCAGCCUUGACACCCUUGCUGCCGCAGCAGCUGCUGCUACAGCUGCUCGCUCACGCUCCUCUGCCACGGCGCGCUCGGCCUCCUGCUGGCGCCGUAUGCUCGAGGUAGCCGUGUGCUGAGAGCGACCUGCAGACAUGGCUCGCUGCAGGGGGGCUGUUGCGUGAAGAGGAGGCUGUUGCUGACGAGCUGCUGCUCGACAGUCCGGAGGGAGGGAGGUAACUAGGGGCAGUCGGAGCAGCAGCUGCUACCGGCUUAGGCUGCUCAGCUCCCGGUGAGAGAGGUGAGCAGGAAAUGCUCAGGGUGCAAGAUAACCUGGCUCUGAUACCACUUGUUAGACCUUUCAGCCUGAGCAUUGAUGUUGUGGAUGACACUAGGAGAGUUGGGACAAUUUUCGUUGGUUUAUUU
rnacentral:lncRNA from 1 species